UACCAGUAUUGUCUUCUAGUCACCACGUUUCCAUAGAAGUGGAAUUAUAGUACCAGUCUACAGUUACAGUCUGCAGCCAGAAUCUCAGAAGCAGCACUGAGGUUAGCUGUUCUUCAAAAUCUGGCCACAGACAGACUGCAGCCAAUUCACAGAAAUGCUGCAGACAUUGGACGGCCCAAGCUUGACCAUAUUCUGGGUCCUGCAUGGUUUGGAGAGAAUAUUCUUCAGAGAAUAAAAUUGCCAUCCAUUUGGAUCAAAAAAGAACUUGGUAAUAUUGUGCGCUACCUGAGGAAAAAUUUCAAAAAGGAGUACACAUUGUUCUUUACAAGCCCUAAAGAAUAUCCGCAGUAAUUAAGCGUUCAAGUGCUUCUUAUACAGAAACAAUCAUAACUUUAGGUUAAAAUACACAUAUAAACCAUCUAUUAACAGUUGAAUAUAAUUUUAUACUCUGGUUUGCCUGUCUGGGAUACCUGCUGCAGCGUGACACAAAAUUCAGUAAGUAGAUUCGUGGAAAAAGUAACCACAUCUAACAAAAAUAAAAAUAACUACUUGUUGUUCAGUUCUUGUGCUCUCAAAGUUAUGAGGACAAAAGUUGCCAUUAGUGAGGACUAUUGGAAUACAAGACUUAAUAUUUAAUUAAUCAGAGCUGUGCUGUACUUCUGUUAAUCAAAUGGUGAGUUUGAGGUUAGCAAAAAUAAAUAAAUAAAUGAUCUUUCUACCUGCCCACAGUUCUAUAGAAAUGGGCUGUUACUCCCCUGGGGUAGAGUGCCCUGAUUUCAAUCUGUAGAGCAGAUCCAGACUCCAGCUGUCUUGACAAUAUACUUGUUGGAAUACUAUGUGACAGUGUUCCUUACAGCUCAGGUAACUGGAAAAGAAGUUUAAAGAACCCAUACAGAGACAUUGUACAACACAGUGAAUGUCUAAAAGCAAUUAAUAGAGUACAAACUUCUGAUUGUCAAGGAGGAAUUUCAAUGUACACUAAUAAAAGUUAAAGAAAAAUAAUAAAUUCUUGGACUGAGAAGGAAGAAAACCACCCCACGGCUUAAGGGCUGUGGACUAUUUUGAAGCCUGAUUUAAAAUGUAUAAUUUUCCCAUGAUGUACAGUAAAUCAGAAAAUCCUUCUGUAGAUACUGGGCUAAUAGAUAUACCAAUUGAUAUUUUUAAUGUAAACAGCGUGAUAAUAGAGAAAGAGCACACUGCUACUUCAAGUCUAGGGCACUUUCCAUUAACCAUCUGAUAACGGGUGUAAGAUUGAAUAAUAAAACACCUAAUAGCAAUAGGAUUGCCAAAGCUCAAAUACUUCCUUAUUAGUUCCUCAAAAUUUUAAAGCCCAAUUAGGCCUUGAGAGGAAAAGAGACAUUUUUCUGCAUUCUGAAAAGUCUCAACUAAUGAUUUUGUGAAGUUCUAGAUGUUCUAAAUGGAGGGAUAUUCCUAUCUGUUCUGGUCUAUGAGACCCGCACCUGCAACUCUUGAUCCGUCAAAAAUGUUUUCCACAUGAAAUUAUGACUGGGUAAAGCAUGCAAACUUCAGACCAUAUUCAGUGUAGUACAGCGAAUACUGUUUAUUUCAGAAGUCACUAAGUAAACAAAAGCUUCUAAGAAAAUGUAAGAUAUCUCAGUCUCCUAAAUUUAUAGUAUUUCUCUAUGUCUGUUUGCCAGGGAAUAAAACAGCAUAUUACACGGAGCCAGUGCAAACUGAAUAGGUCAGAAAAAAAAUGUAUCAGCCAAUAGAGUGAAUGUGAAGCAUAAAUCUCACUUCUAUUUAACUCAUAAUUUUUAGUGGGUGGUACUCUCAAAAGACCCAAAAGGACAAAACAGAACUUUAGACAGAAAGUGUAAAUAAAUAUAACAAACAAAAGAAAGUCAUUCCAGUAUUAUAAGCGUGAAAACACAAAACUCAACAAAGUUUCAGAGUUAUUUUGCACUGAAGAGCUAUAGAUUACUUCAGAUUUUGCAAGGAUUUAUUUUGGAAAUGCUGGUAGAUGCUGAGCAUAGUAACAAGACGUAGAUGGUUUAAGCAAAGCAGAUUACCUCUCCUUUUAAACAUACAGAGAGUUAAAGACCUGAAUAGCCUUUCCAACGUAACACAAACCUAAAUAAUUAAGACUAUCAGACACAACCAGUAAUUAAAAAAAAAAAAAACAGACUCCAGUGAGAGCCUGGCUGUGGUGCAAGUAACCACAACCACCAUAAUCAGUCCACAACUGCAAUAAAACACAAAUGUUUUAAUCAUUUACUACCACAUUCAUCCCAAUCUAAAUUUACCUGAUCUCUCUGCCCUAAAGGGGCAACUAUGAUCACCCUAGUGGUGUUUUUGUCACAUAAUUUGCAAAUUAUUAAAGUUUAAUGGAGGAUGCAUCUCUUUUCCUAAUUCCUGAAUUAGGCAGUAUAUGACCUCCACACACUUACAUGCACACACAAACACACACAUACACAGUUUUGGGUUAGAUGUUUUACUUUCCUCAAUCUUCUCUCCUAGACUUUUAUUCCUAUUGUAAGGACACCAAGUAUAUGUAAAUGAAGAGACCUUGAAUUUUUUUGCCUCCUUUGACCUACAAAUCACACAAGUUUUUCAAGCCUUAGUUUCUCUAGAGCUAAAAUGACAUUCUUAGCAACAAUCUCAGUAAACAAGUGUGACAGCUGCAGAUGAAUCACACUAUUGAAACAGCAAAACACAAGGAAUAAGCUGUAGAAACAUGAACAAUACAGGAGAAAGUCUCUUCCAUAAGCAUAACACGUACAAUCAGAACAAAUUACUGUAAGAUUGGAGUAAGUAGGCAAAACUUGUUUGUAUCCAGUACAACCAAGAUUGUAGAUAAUCAGAGAAAGGUCAGAAGAAAGCAUUGUUAUACCUGGCUUUAUUUAUAGAGAUAAAAAUGCAGUUGUGACUAGGUACAAAGCGAAUUCUCAUACUAAGAAAAACAAGCGAAUCUUACAAAAUACAUACCAUUCUGCAGAAACCUAAAAUCAAUCUUGAGGCGAUAAAUACUAUGAAACUAUUCUUUCCAACUUUAUCAUAUCCCCAUUUUAUCAAAACCAGGUCAAAUAGACUACGCACUCUAAACCUCAUAUAUGCACAGAAAAGAUCUGAAUUACCACCUAUAAGAAAUGCUUUGGUUUGCUUUUAACAGAAAAUAGGUAAUAUCUUACAUUUAUUGCAUUAACAUAAACCCAUUUAUCUGUUAAAUAGCAAAGUUACAUAGAUUUACCCUGAAGAACAUUAUCUUGGAGAACAAGAAUAGCCACCAGAAAGGGACCAGUGAAGCAAAUAUUUGACUCUACUAUAAACUGAUUAGUUCACUUAAUCAGCAGAAAGACACACUGAGAAGUGUAGAUUCCCCCCCACAUUAGCAUAGGUAAGUCCUCCUGAACAAGCUGAUUGUCAAAUCAUGACUUUCUCUUGUGUUCUGUCUGGCACCAUCUCAGUAAGUUAUCAAUAAUUACUGACCAUUACCAAGGAAGUGAAAAACAAAUGCAAAAUCCAUUACAUUUUAGGAAACCUCACUAUGAUCAAAGCCGGAUGUAUAUGCAUAUGAAGCAGGGAAAUCGUCUGCAAACUAUUUUAAGCUGGAUUAAAAAUCAUUCUGGAUGAGCUCAUAUAAAAAAUUGCCUUUAAAGUGGACCAACAAAGAAUACAGAACUAGGCUACAAUCUUCUCCUGGUUCUUUGCCUUGCAUAAAAACAAACAAACAAACAAAUGAAAACAACUAGGAAGGGAGAAAAAAAACAACACAUUUUUGAGAAAGAAGGACCUCUACUCUUUUACUUUUCUCCACUUAAAUUUAAGGUUUGUUUCCAUUAGUAAUCUACAGUAAUAGGCCAACUCAUGGAAAAGGGACAGUAAGAAAACUGGGAAAUAAAAUUUGGGCAAAUAAAAAUUUUUUACUCUUUUGAUAGACAUUGCAAUUCUUUUUAUCCUUAAAAAAAAAUCUACAACUACGAUGAUUGGUCUUUUGGAGAAAAGAUUUUUUUCUACACUUUUGUCUCACAGCUUACAGCAUGAGAACUUGCAAUACAAAUCUUCAAGACUUUCAGUAACUAUUCCCAAAAUAAGAAUCCAAGCAAAUGUUUCUGAAAUUUCUUAUUUUUAAAUAACAGGGAAAAAUUAAACAUCUCUAAGCAUCUUUAUAAUCUUUCUUAUUCAUUGCAAGCGAAAAGGAGAUGAAAAAAUCAAAUUUCAAAAAUCACCUGGUGGUCACCUAGUAUUGUGUGAACAUCUACAGAGACAUUAAAUGUUUUUCUCUGUUACCCUGGAGAUAGAUUUAGAACAUUAUGUAUAGAAGACCUGGUAUUUCAUCUGACCUCUGGUUCUUACAGUAACAUAGCUAUAGAAAAAGUAGCCUCUAGGUUGUAACAGUUAAUAUCUGGAUACUCUGUCAGAUAAAUAUAGUAAACUCUUGUGUAAGAGGUAAUAUCUUAAGCAGAAAUUCAAAGAAGAGCAUAUAUGACCCAUUUCUUUCCUUCAUAGCUCAUGUCUAAUGUUAGAUGGACUCAUAUGUAAAAACAGAGGAAGUUACUGUCUGACAUUUAAAGUCACUAAGAUGUCCAUUAAUCUAUUAGAAGCAGCCAAACCCUUUCUUUCAUUGCCUAUCCCAGAAAGUGCUAUCUGCAAACAUGUUGGCACAUACAAGUGAUCAUAUCACAUGAUCAUGUAUCACAACGGUAAAUAUCUCCCCUGCUCUAAGAGGUGUUCCCAGAUUAUCCCUAUGCAAGACACAGUACACCUCAGUCACCUCCAAAAAGUCCAGACGCCUGUGAUGACCAAAAAAAAAAAAAAAAGUGUAUUUCCUAUGUUAUGUUAGGGUAAGGAAAAGAAAUGCAGCUUUAUUUGUUCCCUUGUUAGAAAAGUGUGCUAAUUUUUCCAAAAAUGGUUGGGAGGAUUUCCAGUGAAGUCUUUUAAGUGUCUAUGCCAUAAUUUAAAGGAGUCAUCGAUCUUCAAAAUGUCUUCUGUUUCAUAGAGCAUCCAUAUAAAUCUUUACGAUUUAACUCUGAAUACAGAUUUGUUUGCACACUGAAAUAAUUCCCAAUACUGAGGCUACUGAGUCAUCGUUAAUUUCAAAUGAAAAUCAAGCCAAUCAGACAAAUAUAUAGAUAGAUAUUCAGCCUUUGCUUACUUAAAAUGACAUCACCACACACCACCACCAGCCAGCACAAAUACUCAGCAGAUCUGGCUUAUGAUCAUUUAUGUGGCAAAAUGCCAAUGUAUCUAUUAUGACAUCCUCUAAAUUCUGUAAUACAUUUACUACCAUCCCACUCAAAUCAGAUGGAAAAAGAUAGCAAGCCCCAAUUCUUAUCUAUAUUUUUUCAGCCUUUGAGCACCUAUUACAGGAAGGAGUUACAGGCAUUUCUGAAGCCACUGUGGCAUUGACACUGGCUUCACAGUGAGUUAUCCAAUGGCCAGGGCUGGGAAAAAAAUAAUAAUUGGACUUUCUUUUUCAGUAAAAAAGAUUUAAAAAAAAAAAGCUUGAAAAAUAUCCAUGUGAGACUAUAUUUCAGCAAAAUUAUUGAAAAUAUAAAAAGUCAGUAGAUGUUUCUUCAUAUUUGCUUUCUUUUACUAUCUUGUUCUCCUCUGGGGAAAAAAAAAGAAAAAAAAGAGGAUGAGAAACAUUAAAAGGGAAAGAGAAGAAAUGAGAACAAAAAAUCCAUUGCUGUUAUUUCUAACUGGCAGAAAGAAAAGAGCAAUUUUAAGGAGCUGCAGCUUUAAAACAAGUACAUGAGAAUGCACUGCAAAUUUAACAUACCAGUCUAUUAAUCGCUCUUAAACAGGAGUACAGAAUUUAUCAUCCAGACAGAUAAUGAUAACAUACAGGGAUUGUAAUUAAACUUGACUAUAUUCCCACGUAUCAAAAAAAAUGACUACCAAUAUGAUCUGAUGUUUGAAGUGCUAAGCUGAGAGCACAACUGUUGUCCACAGGUUAUUCUUCCAUUCCAAGCUAUAACGGUUUCAUCUAUAAACUUAAGCCUUUCAGGAUAUGCAUUCAUAACCUUUAAAAAUCUCUUGGCCCUAAAAUUAGUUUUCUCUGAAGUCCCUGCUUCACCAAAAAAGAAAAUGUGAUAUGCAUCAGGUCUGAGAUGUCUGGAAUCCAUGAAAUCAUAGUUUUUCAUACUAACAACUUAGUACAGAUGAAAUAGAUUGCAUAUAGCCUGCCCGUGUGUGAAUAUAUCCGUAUGCAUUGAAAACUGCAUUUUCUGGUUGCUCUGCACUAUUUUUCUUUUGAGAUUUAAGUUGACAUAUUUAGCAAAAUUCCUUCCCCUUUCCACUGUUUUGCAGUCUGAUACAAAAGUGUUACCUACUGCCCAUCUGCAAGGAGACUGAAUUUGUGCAAAAUUGUAAGCAUGGACCAAGACAUGUAAAGUAAUGAAUGUGUCAGGAAUUUGAAAAAUGACAAAUUAAUGAUAUUAUUCUUCAUUUUCAUUUACUAAACUACAUGAUUGUAAUUCAGCCAGCAGCACAACUUAAAUUUUGCUUUAUGACAUCUGUAAUUCCUUCUAUUUAUUACUUCUUUAUGCUGCUGAUCCUCCACAUUCACUUUGGUCUCCAUAUCUAAUUGAGAACAUCUGCAAGUCAAAUCUUCUAUUGCCUUCUGGCAUACAUAAAAGCAUAUUUUUUUUCCUCCUACAUUAUCUAUCUUCAGUUUCAUGUCCACAGUGUUGAAGCUCUGUUAAGUAGAUGAAAAUUCUUAGAGGCAAAAGACAAAACGUGAGCUCGCUAUGAAGGAAUAUAUAGCAGAUAGUUCUGCAAAGAACCUGACCCUUUGACAGCAGGAAUCCUUUUUGAUAAAAUAAAAUAAAAAACAAGCCUAAUGGAACCUUAACAAACAGGUGGCUGUGUGAAGCUUAACCUAGUAGCUACUCUUCCUCCACAGCAUCCUAGAAGAAAAAGCCUUAUGCUGUUUGAUCAAUACCUGCCUGAAAAUAUCACCUUUUGACCAUGCACAAAAAAGGCUCAAGGCCAAAUUAUUAAUUAUUAAGACAGCCUAGUACUGUUUGAAAUCUUUGGGCUUUCACAUUACAGGAGAUAACUUGAUGUGGAUCUUGUUUCAGAGAAUAGAAUAGUGUUAGAGGUUAAAAUAUUCCCAGGGAGUAAUUUUGCCCCAUUCAAGGCAUUCUGGUUUGCUUUUAUCCUCCCUGAUUUCAGUGGUUGGGUUUUCACCUGUAAGAGUGAAAUGAUUGCAAUUGAUAGAAUACAAGGGAAUCUGACUUAGCUAUUACUCUAAUUACAAUUAUUAUUAUUACUGCAUUAUUAGACUUCAGUCAGUCAGUCACUUUCUGUGUAUAAAAUUAUGGUUUCAGAUUGCAAGUAAUUUGCUUUGUUUUUGUUUUUUGUUCUAAUCUUUUCAGCAUCAAAAUGUUUUACCUAUCUUUGUAUAAGUUCUUUGGUAUUACACUGCCUAGCAAAAUUCACUUAGUAAGAUUUCGUUUCCAAGAAAGAAUAUGAGUUAGUGACUUUCCUAAGUGCAGUGGUCACUGCACACUUACACACAAAUGGAGUUUCCCUGGAUCAGUCCUUGUGACAGUAUUUCAACAUGCAUUUUAGGAAAAUUAACAACAAAGUACUAUCUCCCUGAUGUAUUAACAGAUACAAUACAAACAAAUUAGGGAAAGAUACACAUACAUGUGAAUAAUUGAUAUUACCUCCUACUGCAGGAAUGUUGUGAAUUUUAUAACAUUGAAAAGGAAUAGGUUAACAGUUUCACAAAAUAUUUAUAUAACAAAUCUGUCUGUCAAGUGAUAAAACAAUGUGGUUCAUAGAUUGAGCAACUUUGAUAUAGCAAUUCCAUAUUAUACAUCACAAUUGCUCACUAGUAAACAGAUCUUUAUACAAAACAUCUACUAGAAUUGCUUUCAUUUUAGCUUUCCCUUGGGUUUCCCUAGAAGGUUAACAUUACCAAAAGGAUAAAUCCAAGCUGUAAAAAAACAUUUUCCUCAUCAGACUUGGACUGCAGAAAGUACAAGCACCCCAAAUUAAAGCUUUAUGUUGAAUUCCUUGUUUAUUUUCUUGACAGACACAUACCCUUAUGUGUGCAGAUAAGGUGUGAGUUGUAUUCCAUUUGCAUUAACCCUUAUUAAGUAUAACAGCUAGCUCCACAAUUAGAGAGAACUGCUGAAGGAUAGGACCUACUGCUUUUUUGUUUGCACUGCUCUUUAGAGAACUCAUGUUGGAGCAGUCAUUACUAAGCAGCAAUGCAAAGCCACUGCAGAGAUGGGUGGCUAAAAGCCCGAGACCAGGACACUGUGCCAGAUUUGCCCACUAUCACAGAAUCUUAGGGAUUUGAAGGGACCUUUGGAGAUCAUCAAGCCUGACCCACUGCUAUAGCAGGUUCCUAAGGAAAGCAUCCAGGCAGGUUUGGAAUACCUCUCUAGAGGAGACUCCACAGUCUCUCUGGGCAGCCUGUUCCAGGGUUCUGUCACCUCCAAGUAAUGUAGUUCUUGCUCAUUCUCAGAUGGAACUUCCCUUGUUUCAGUUUGUCCCCUUUGCUCCUUGUCCUGAUGCUGGGAACUACCAAAAAGAGCCUGACUCCACCCACUUAAUACUCACACUUCAGAUAUUUAUAACCAUUGACAAGUUCCCCUCUCAGUUUUCUCCACAGUGAGCAGCCCCAGGUCUCUCAGCCUUUCCUCACAAAGGAGAUGCUCCAGGCCCAUUACCAUCAUUGCAGCCCUCCGCUGCACCCUCAUCUAGGAGUUCCCUGUCCUUGAACUGAAGAGCCCGUAACUGGACACAGUACUCUAGAUAGGGCCUCACAAGGAAAGAUUAGAGGGAGAAGAUAAUGAGUAAUAUUUCCUCACUACAUUCUCUCCUUUACCACCUGAUCUCCUGCUCUUUGGCAGCGUGGGCUGGUAUAGUCUCCUCUGAAAUGAAGUGUGUAAAACUGGACACACACCCACACCUCGGGCCACAGUGUUCCCCAUAUAAGUGCGUGCAUUUACAAAAAUUAUGUAUUCUUAAUUUUUUGUCCUUUCUCUGUAAAUAGCAAGGCUUCUCCCUAAGCAAAAGCUACCAGGUCUGUAUUUUACAAAUCCACUUACACACACUACUUAAAAUGUGCAAUCUCAUUUCAGAGGGUAAGAGUGCGUGGCAUGAAAUGGGGACAAAAAUCAUCAUGUUUGAAAAGGAUUUCAGAGUUUACUUGGCAACUCCUCAUGUCAUUGCAUUUACUCUCCAGACCUAUAGUCAUCUUUCUUUGUCAUUCUAGGCUGCUCUCAGAUGUCAAAAACAAUUUAUUUAGCAUUCUACAAUGAUUUCAACAAUGCAUACAUACAUCUGACAAUUUCAAUAUGAGUACCAUGGAAAUAUUAAAUUGCAUUUCAAAGACCAAUAUAAAAUGAAAACAAAUACUUCAUUUUCAUCAAAUUAAAAAAAGUAUUUGAGCUAAAGUAUUACUACUGUAUUUACAAAGUAUAGCAAAACUGUCCAAUGAAAAAAGGUUGCAAAAGUAAUCAAAACAAAUGCAAUAAACCUGGGAGAGAAUAAAAAAGGAUUUCUUCCUUUUGGUAACUGGACAUUUAAAAAUCAUGAAUAGUGCUAGAUUUCAGUUCUGAAGAACACACCACCCUCAGCAAUGCUUUUUCAUCUGUUUCCAGCUUCUGGUCUUUUCAGAGUCAAUUUUUCAGUAUUUCAUAUCUCCAACUCCAGUCAUUAUUCAGGGGCAGCAUUAAUAUAGCCAGUGAUAAAACAGAUUAGAAAAAGUGGGCAGAGUGGGUAAAUACAUUAGGAAUGAAUGAGAGAAGCCAUGGGGAACCAAGCUGCUUUUGUUAUACAUGCCAUAGGAGCCAGGACCAUACACCAGGGAGGAUCUUAUAAAGCUAGCUCACAUUAAUGCAGCAUUAGUGGCUAAUGGACAUGGAACAGGAUUAAAUCCAUAUGGUAAUGGCACUGAAAAGGGAAAGGAGGGAGUAAUAAGAAAAAUAAAAAUAAUAAAAAAGAACAAUCAUCUCCUCUCAAACAAUUUUGAACCUCAAUCUUCUGCUGAAGUAGACUGCCUUGCCACUGGUUUUGGUGGGAGUAGCACUAGCCUCAUCACUGAUAUCUGGCAUAUUUACAAUAUAUUACAUAACCCUUCAUAAUGCAGCCCCAGAAAAAGCGCCUACCCAAAAAGAGGGAAAAAACAAGCACUCAAGGAAAGGCUUCUGGUAGUGCCUAGCAUACAAAAUACAAUCCAGUUCUUAUGUUGUCAAAAACACAGUUGUCAGGGUCCUCAGUCCAAUAGCUGAUCUCUCCAGUCCUCCAUUUAACUACAAAUGCUCAGGAUACUCUCAUACAUAGGGAGGCUGCUGCCAUGUGAAAAGACAUAGUAAAAGAGCCUUUUCCUAAGGUGGUAUUUUGAUCACUUAAGUGAGACUUUGCUCAUGCGUGCUUAAUGCUCCAAUACUCAGCGAUAUACCUCAUAUUAAUCAAGAAAGUUUCUGUACCUGGAUGAACAUGACUACUUCUAAACUUAAAAGUUUACUAAAUGUGGGAUUAGUGGUAGGACUGAGACAGUUCAAGAUCUUCCUCUGCUCCUCCUUGAUGAAAAGGUUAAUUUUCUCACUUUCUCACAGAUUAUCUUUCAAAAUGGAGUUAUGGUGCAUGGAAUUCACAGGACAAUUUCUAAAGAAAAGGGAUUUCAAAACAGAUAAGUGCAUUUUCAGUGUGCUCCCAGGGAGUACAAGAACUUUGGUUUACAACAACACUCAGGAAUGUAAAAGCCUAAUAUUUAACAUCCAUGGCCCAGUAAAAUACUUGAGUGUCACCUGCAAACACUUAGGCUCAUAAAUUAACUGAAAUCCUAUUGCUCUACCUUAAGAAAAUUUGGAGGCAUAGCAUUUCUGACUCUGUGGUUUCAUAACAUCACUCUGAAAUCCCACAAAUAAUCUUGCAUUAUUUCUAAAGAUAACAGCUUGAUGGCAUUAGCAGGAACAAGAACAUGCCUUUUCUUGUAACACUGCGUUAAAUGUAAUUUUGAAACAGAGGGGACAGGAAAAGGAGGUCACACCAUUCUACUGUCAGUGGGAUGAAGAGGAGCACUACUACCUCAGGCCAUGAAGAACUCUCCCUUUAGCUAAGCAGUUCUGCUGAGUGCUCUGUUUCUUCUACUUAAAUAAUUUGUUGUCUUGACAGACAGACAGCAGAGUUUUCCUUUUUCUUGCAACUGUCAAAGAGCUGAAGGGCAAUUUCCCUUAGAGGCUUGAGAUGGGAACAGAAACGGGGGUUUUCAGUUCUCUGCAGUCGCAGUACCAUAUGAAACAGAAAUGGUAGCAUUCUGUCCCACGGCUCCUCUGUUCCACAAAGACUAGGAGCUUGCCCAGCAUGCUAAUCUCCACAAAUAACUGAAAACUCCCUGUUGCUCACAUAAGAGAACAACAAAAGUCAAAGAAAGAAAACAAGACCAAAAGGGAAAACACCAUCUGAAUUACUACAGAACUUUUAAAAUCUUUGGAGCUGGGAUUUUAAUUCACACCUGCCCAUACAGCCAAGUAGAAAUUCCUUGAAUCAACAGGUUGACAAAUCUGCUGGACUGAAAUGCACUCUUGGCUUGGAAGCUUGCAACAACUGAAGUGAUAACAUAUAAACUCUAUUUAUAAAGUAAGCACAGACAAUCCUAAACUUCUAGCAAUGACUAGAAGAGAUUGCAGAACAAGUACAAUGGGACACCAAAAUGUCAAAAGUAUCAGGGAUUUAUCACACCAUCCACUAUUAGUAUCAACUGAUGACUAACAAAUACAAAGCUGCUAUCUUCAUGCACUUUGGAGAUAUGGGAAAGGUCUAAUUUGGGAAAGAUUUCUGCAGAAAGAGCAGAAGGUUGCCCGUGGUUUUGGAGGAAUUUUCCAUUGUUUUCCUGAUGUGAAGCUGUACAUCAGCCUGGAAACAGAAGUGCAUGGCCACCUCCACUGAUGUGGCUGAGUAUUGAGGUGUACAAAGGAUGAUAAUUUAUGACUUCUAAAAAUAUGCUCACCAUUGUGUCCUCCCGUCUUGCCCAGUGUAUUUUACCACUUAAUCUCUCUUUUUGCCCUCUAAUGAGUCCUCGGUUUGGCACCCUCUGAGAAACAAAUCCUUGUUUUGCUUUUGGGAUCAAAAGGUGAGUGAAAACACACUCUUCCUUCUGACUCUCACCCACAGAGGCAGUGUUAAACUUUCUUCAGCUGAAAAUCAUAUUUACUGUACUGUCGUCGUCCUCAUCAUAUUCUCAGACCUCUUGUCAAAAUGCAGCUGACUCACAAGACCAGGGCAUAAAUAUUUCAGUUAACUUUAAUGGCACAUUUUAAAAUGUUUUCUUUUUUUCCUUACACUGUUCCAUAGCCUGCUGAAGUAGUAAAAGCUUGAUCCAUUAAGCCAAAUCAUCACCACUUGGACUAGGUUUAUGAGUAGCCUAUUCAGCUACUCUAUGGGAAAGUCAAAUUGCAGGAAAGAGGACUCUCACUUCCAGUCACUGUAUUUGGAGCUCCUUCAGUGGUUGUCAGCUGUCACUCCCUCCCUCCACCCAGAGGAGACCCAGUAGAUAUAGCUACUCCUGGGUUAGAUCAGCUUACAGAAAGUAUACAGAAGGCUGCUUGUUUGCAAUUAAAGUAUGCUAUGGGUGGAACACCUCUCAUCUGCAGGGAGAUAGCCCAAGUGUCCUUCCCCCUCCGGGCAAUCCAGUUGCCACUUUGCCCACCAUUGUGCAAGAUCCCAGCAGGGAGCUGGGAAACAGCUUGCACCAACCCCUGUAAGUGAGCUGAGGAACAGGGAGUGGAUGUUUUUAAGGAAAGCUUGCUGAAAAUUCCCAAGGGGACUUGAUGAUCACCUUCCCAUUAGGUCUCAAUGAAGUCCUAGUAACAUUCUUGGUAGAUACUGGGGCCCACAUAUUUGCUCUAAGGGAAGAUGCAGCUGUGAACUGCCAGGUAUGUCAUGACAGAAAAAAGCAGAGGUUAUAAAGGUGUUUGGCAACUCUCGGCCUUUGCACACAGCAACGGUUAAGUGUUGGAUACAUGGGAACUCAAAGUCAACAGAAGUCACAAUGGUAGUGGGCUCUUUGCCUACUAAUAUUGCAGGAUUAGAUUUGCUGAAAGGACAAUCUUGGAUUGGGCCUAGGGGGAAGGGAAUAGAAAUCUGGAUCCCUCUCUACAGCACUGCAGCUGUUACAAUUAGCCCCAGUACUACUUCCCUCAAAAACUGUAAAUAUAAAACAUUGGCCCCUAUCUUCGGGAUUAGAGGAGGGCAUUUCAACAGUCAUUACUAAUCAUAAAAAUGAGGGAAUUUAGUUCCUACCCACUCACCAUAUAAUUCUCCUGUGUGGCUGGCUCAGAAACUGAACAGCAAAUGGAGGCUCGCAGGUGAUUUUCAGAACUUAAAUACAAACACAGGACCUUUAACUGCUGCUGUACCAAACAUGGCUGAACUAAUAGCUUCCAUUCAGGAGCAAGCUCACAAAAUUCUGGCUACAACUGAUAUUAAGGAUAUGUUUUUUUAUGGUAUCUCUUAGAGAAGCAGACGAAGCAAAUUACUUUCACCUGGGAAGGUGUCUAAUAUGUAUUCACCCACCUGCUUUCUAUUUAAAAUAAGAGAAUGUACUUAUUCUUAUAUUCAAAACCAAACUAAUGAACAAAACCUUGUUUCAGCAAUACGCCACAAAUGCUUCACUAGGUUAGUGCUCUCAACUGAGCAAAUUAACUACAUUUUAAAGAAUGCUUGCUAAACUAGUUCAGAAACUUAUAAAUUUGUUUUAAAAAUAGCAAAAACAAUGGUAGUUUGUUGAACAGAACAUUUCAAUAUCCAUUCAUUUUAAUAAGGAGGAUUUUAAACAGAUCUUCAAGUCUACUGCAAGAGAAAAACAACAACAAAUGUUUGGGCAGAGCAUGACUUCCCAGUAAAAUUACAGAUUAAAAGCAUGAGCAGUCGGUGUUGAACAUCAAUCUUGUCUAGUAAUGACUUUAAUAUGCUAAACUUAAUACAUUAAGAGAUGUGUUAUAAGACAUUAGUGCUUUUUCCAUAACAUAAACAUAAAAUCACAGUUUGGCCUCAGAAAAAGAUUACACUAGUUGCCCUCAUUCUCUAUCAGAUUGCAGCUCUGAUGUUUAUAUUUUCUAUAUACUAUUUCUUCAAAUGCUCUCCUCGAGCACAGAAAGCAAUUACAGCCACUAAUGAUGUCUUUCUCUACUGGAUCUGCACAUCUAUGAAAGAUAGCCUGAUAAAGAGCUGGGGCUGAUAUAACACUGCAAAAUUGUUCCCUGCUUCAGCUGUACACUCCUGUAAGUCAUACCAUUCUCUCAAGAACUGCACUGGAUCACACACAUUCCCUUGGAAGUACUUAGUUUUACACAGAUUUGUGCACAAAGUUAUCUCUUUAUGUUUAGUUCCUUUGCAAGUACGUAUGCCUAUUAAAGCACUUAACUCUGUUUGGCCUGAGAACCAACACGCAUAGCAAAGCUUUUGCUUUCCGUGCCUCCUGAGUGUCUGCUUUCAUAAUGAUACAGCCACAUAAUGAUACCAGGGUAGUAAUGACUUUCUUGUAGCGAGGGGCCCAAAACUGAACACAGCACUCAAAAUGCAGUCUCACCAGUGCCAAAUACAAAGACACCACCACCUCCCUGAUCCUGCUCUUUUCUCCGAGUGAACACUGCAGUUGCUCCAAGAAAGAAAACACUGUCUCCUUUUUCCAUGCUUCCGCAUUUUAGUGCUACCUUGUCCCACAUACACUGAAAAGUGUUAGGCAUGCAAUAGGAAAUACGGAGCUGAAACUUUUAAUUCGAGAUGGCCAGGAAGGCAAUUCAAAGUCAGGUUUAAAAUAGAAAUCACAUUGAUUCCUUCAGCUUGGAAGCAUUCCUGUGUCUAUAACCAAGAUUGCUCUUGUUUGAACAAACCUUACUGCUGAAGAGCCAAAUUAUACCAUUCAUUUUGAAAACAGACUCCCUAGUGAGAACAAUGGAAAGUUCUGCUUAAAAACCAACGAUACAACAUGGUAAAGAUAUUUAAUGCAAAGAGUUUCCCAUCUAAACAGCAAAUCCCCUAAAGGGGAAUUUCUGGAAAGGUACUGGCAGUCAAAAACAAAUGAGGUGGAGCACAGGAGCAGAACAGAAAGAUGCAGACUGGCUCAGGAAGCACAGUGUUUCCAAGCAGCUGUGCAGCAGCUCUUAGGCUGUGCGUGUGUGCUGCCAGCAUAACCCACCCUGCCUCAGGACAGGAGGUCACCUUCAAGGGGUGUGCUGGGGCAGGUGCUGAACGUGAAUGCAGCAGCAGUGUAAAUGAAAAGGAACAGCACAUCAAUGGAUUACUUGCUAUUCUGACAAUAAUACCGGUGAUUCGGAGCAACUCCAAAGUCUUAAAUGCACAGAUUAGGGGUGAUGCAGAUGAACUGGUAAUAUCAGAACAGGUGAGGUGGCUACAGUAAUUCAUCACAUCACCUGGAUCACCACGCAUGUUCAAGGCACCACUCAAGGAAUGGGGGAGAAGAACAAAGGAAGGAGAGGAGAAGAAUGCUAUCAACACACCCAGGCUUAAGACAGCUACUCUCUCCCAUAGCUACUGGAGAUACUGACACUUCUUCAAAGCACUGCACAAGGCACCCGUCUAAGGUUCCAGUCUUUGGAUGACCCAGAAGCACAGGGCAGUGUAACUGAAGCAGCAUGAAACACCCUGUCCUAAUUCUUUUUCUCCCAAAGUGAGAGGAAGAGAGAGAAAGAGAGGGGAGAGGGAGAGACAGAGACAGAGACAGACUUCCACUCUUCCAUAGCUUUGCUCUCUUCCAAGAGUUGCUACGGAAAAUAGUGAUUGGACAGAAGAAGAGAUUAUUCCUAUGAAUCCAGUUUCUGAAAACACUUCUGGCUGUUUUCCUGGACUAUAUGCCUCACCAAAGUACUGCUACAACUACACAGCACAAGUAAGCCACAACACAAAACAAGAAUGCCAUGAACCUUGGAGUUUCUAGAUACAGGAGCCACAUCACAACCAUUCACAUGCAUUCACUUUGACAUUAAGUAACACUUCCAAAGUAGCAAACAGAAAGAGAAGAUUUCUCAAACUAAAAGAAAUUCUAGACUUCAAAAAGCAUUAAAAAUAUCGGAUACUUUUGUAGUCAUUUUGGUAAUACACAUGGAAUUAGUUUUUCAAGCCUUUUUUUUUUUUUAAUUUUGUAAUAGAGCUGGGUAAAUAUCUAAAGAAAGCUGAAGUUACAAUGAGCAUCAAAGAAAAAAAUGGUGAAGCAUAGCGAUACUGUAUUGAUUUACAGGACUUAAAGCACCAGUGUUUUCAACAGUAAGGUGGGAGAACAAACAGAAUGUAGAACCUUUACAGAAGCUACAGACAGGGAAAUGGUAGCACAGAAAUAAUGAGGAAAAAUAACAGACACAAUAAGAUGUUCGGCAUGAACUGAAUGUGUUUAUAAAAUCUAGUUUGAUUCAGUUAAAUUAAAAAAACAACAACAUAUUUAAUUACAAUGAUGUUAUUUUCUUCUUCCUAUUAUGCCAACGUUGGGUUGUAAAAAGAACAGAGACAAAGUAUUUCUGUCUGAGCUAGUGUGCUUUUUCUUUGAAAUUUUCUGGUUGGAUACUGAACUCAAAAGAGGAUCUUUUAUCAUAGCUCUCCGGUCACUGGCCACGAAGGAAACCUCUGAAGGUAGCUUUUUUGACUCUGUUGUAUUUCCUUACUUCCCUUAACUUCUGCUCUUCAAUGCAUACAACAAAGAGAGUAUUCAGUAUUCAGCCUUUACACUGUUAGAAAACAAGCUUUUGAAUUUCAGGACAGACAAUAUUAUCUGUCAUUAUUCUCAAUGUUUCUUUUACAAGAUAACACAUUGAGUCAGAGAAUCUGUUCCACUGCAUGUCACAAAGAGUAAUGUUAGCUAAUCUUGCUUGUGAUACAUUUGGGUGUUAUCUUACUGGACACGUCUAAUUCAGAAUCAGAUUGCUGUCCCUUGGUAAUUUUGUGGAUCUCUUCCAAAUAUAGCAAAAUAAGUAGGAAUGCCUCCUAAAUCAGCAUCAAUCUAGUAGAAUAUGCAUCUAAGGCCCAGGCUAUCUCUGUAAAUUUUUUUACUGGCUUUUCAUUUUAUCUACCCAUCUUACAACUUUUCUUAGGAAUAUUAAAUUACUUUCCUUCUUAACCUCAUAUUGAAAUACAGUUUAUGACAAGGCCUUGUUCAGCUUGUUCCAGGAAGAAAAAACACUCCAGACCAUUAUGGGGGCAAGUAGGUGAAAGACUAGCUGGAGCACAGAUAGGUCUUCUUGUUGCAUGGUAUAAAGAAAAUUAAAUACAUUUUAAAUCAUACCCCCUCUAUGCCAGCCAAGUGAUGACCAUUUGAAUUUGCAGAAAUCUUGGAACAGCUGCUUUGAAAUCUGAAUGCUCUAAAUUCUCAUAAUAGAUGCUAAAUCAGAUGUUACUGACAUCCCAAGGGAAUGAGUAUCAUUUUUCUAAUUAUUAAACAUUUUAACAGAAAACAGUUUCAUAAAUUGAGUUCUCUGUCUUAAAUGUUGAGCACGGGAUCACAUUAUCUAAAAGAUAACAACAGUAACAAAUUACUUCCCUUUUUUGACAUAGCUUUAAGUGAAAUUGCAACAAUUAUCUUAGGCUAAAUUAAGUCUUUUUGAUCUACUAACAUUAUUUCAUAAUGUGGUUUAAGCUAACAGAGCUCCGUGCGUCAGAAUGUAGUAAAAAAGUGGAGUAUACAGCAUUGCUAUUAGGUUAACAUAGUUCCUGAACAAAUGCUUGCUUACUUCCAAAAUAUAUUAAAAAAAGCAUUUAGGAAGAAGGGGAAAAAAUGAAAUAAAAAAAGGAGAAAAAAGUAUAAAGAUUAUAUUUAUAUAUAUAUAUUUAUAUAUAAGAUAUAAAGAUAAUAUUUAGUUUAGAAACAAACAACAACAAAAAUCAACAGUAAAUAAUCAUUUAGAGACUCUGACCUAUGAAAAAGUGCAAGGCAAAAGACCAAGCAAUAACCAGAUAAAACGGUCUGCUGGAUCUUCUAACACCUUCCAGCUGAUGAAUAAACCAACUUUUUUGUGUGGCACGUAACACAUAUGGUCUGCUACUAUUGAUACUUUAGCCAUGAUCCAAACCAAAUUGUUUUGUCAAUAGAAACAGUAGGUAAAAUGCUUGCAGACCAUGGAUGGGACAUAUCAGUAGAACACACUCAAAAAGAACCUGAAUUAUGUUCUUAUAUUUCCUGGAAAUUUAGUAGACCACAAUCAUGACACAGAAAAGCAUAAACCCUCAAGUUGCUAGUACUGAAUGAAUUCUAUAAACAGAUUCUAGUGUUUGCUAAAACUAUGUUAUGAUUACCCAUAUGCUGUCUUCAAGAUAAAAGCAAAAUGAACAGAAAAAGCCUAUACUCUUUUUUUUUUUUUUUAAAAAGGGCUAGUGUUUUGGGAGAAUUUUGCUAAGAACUAAUUCUAUUAACACACUUCAAAUGCUAUGAUAUGGUACACAAAUAAUAAAAACACAACAAGAAUUUAAAACUAGGGACCACCUGGGGCAUCAACUAAUAGAAGAUAAAGCCUUUCACAAACAUCUUUAGCUGUUUUUCUCUGUUCCUUUAUGUACUUAAAAGCCUUACAAUUUGACUGUUCGCAACUAAACAGUUGCAAACCAGUAAAUUUUUAGAGGUUCAUCUUCUAUAUUCCUAUACUGUGCAAACUCAGUGAUCACCAAUCUAUCUGAAUAUCUGACUCUGAUUUUCCAGAAAACCUUCUUUGUCUGAAUAUUUUCAGAAAUCCCUUUUGUGAUGCAUUCAUGUGUAGGAUAUCAAUUUUCUCCAUCACUAGUACGUUUCAUACCCUGGCCAUCCAAGACUUAUCUUUCCAAUGAUUAGGUGCUACUAUAGCAAGCAGCCACUAGAAACAUGAAAAUUAGACUUCUCUUCAACAACCUACAUUUUCCAGACAGAAUGCCUUUCCUUGAAGACUGCAGCAUGCAAAUAGAGGGUUGGCAGGGCUACCACAGCUACUAUCUAUUAGCAGGAAAGAGCUACAAAGAUGCUUGCACCUGCAUUACAGUGAUGGCAUUCACCUUUCAUAACAAGCCUUCACCACCCUUCAAGGCAGGAAUGAAGAAUGCUUUUUCCUACUUAAUCUUAUCUCUGACUUAUUUUGUUAGCCAAAACUUUAACUGAUGGGUAUUUGAAAGCAUGGCAGCGGCGGGAGGGGGAGAAGCAGACAAAAGGAAGGUCUACUUACUCUCCUUUUCCACUCUGUACUGACUACAUUUGAUCUGUAUUCUUAUUUGGAUGCUUGUAAUUUUGUUUGUAAAAUACUGAUAAAGCCAGCAAAUGCCUCUGAUAAAAAGGGGCAAAAGGAAAAAAAAGAUUCUUAAAUUCUUAUUUUCUGUUAUAGUUUCUAAGGAAAACGUAUUCAUACACUGUGUUUAUGAUUUUGGUUUUUUCUUUCCUCUUGACAAGCUCUGUGAUACUAUACAAUUGACCUGGAUUUUCUUCUUCCUUCUGUUGUGUCAGCUCAAGAUGCUUCAAGCAAUACAGAUUAAAAAAAAAAAAGAAAAAAAUCAGCACCAAGGAAACAUACUAACCCAACACAGACUUUAAUCUUUUCCUUUCGCAAAAGUAAGGAAAAGUUAUGUCUGACCAGGACCUCAAUAGAGGACUUCAAACAAAGGAAAGGAGAAGAGAUGUGUGUCAUCAGUCUGCAUCUCAAAAGAGAUGUUCUUUGCUCAGCAGAUGCAUCUUGCAGUUUUCAGAAAAUGACUUUUGCUUUCCCUGGUUCCUCAUUUAAAAAAAAAAAAGCAAAAAAAAAAAUCCAAAAACUUGAUGUUUCCCUCCUCCAUUUUCAUAUAAAUAGCAUAAAGACAGCAGUGUGUUAACAAUAUCUACAGUAAAUGUGACAGCCAUGCUGGAGAAUUUCUAUAUUAACUUCAGUUUAGAUUGAUAAAUAACAUUCCUCUACAGACUCGUCCAGAAGAUUCAUAGCAUUUUGUGUGGAGUUUCUUUACAAUCACCACAGAAAUAACCCGCAUGUAGACAGCAGUAACGCUCUUCUUUUUGUAUAUAUAUUAGAACAUCACUUUCCUUGCAACACAAUUCCUGCUGAUCACCACCAGUCUUGUGGGACAGCUUCUGUAAAGGACUUCUAGCCCUUGUGAUCUUUGAGCCUCCCUCCAACAUGCCAGUGAGAUAACUCCCAAAAGGCAAAUGGUCUUUGAUAUCACUGAAAGGAAAGGAUACUGAUCUGCCACCAGCCUUUUCCUACUACAUGAUUUAAAACAGAAGCAAACCAAAAAGUCUCAGUCAAUGCGGUUAUGCCUCAAGCUCGAAAGAAUCUGCAACUCUAGGGAAGCUGAAAAGUUAAGAAAAAUGACCUAUUUGAGCUGCAGAGACCAUGAUUUGGUGCCUCAUUUUAAGAUCAGUAUACCUACAACAAAUAAAAGAACUCUCGGGAAUCUGUCAUCUUUGUAAAUAGUUCCAUGAAUCUAGAUGCUUAAUUAUGAAUGUAGAGUCUACCAUAGGCACCUAGUUCCCAAUCUGCUGGACAGAAAACUGCUCCAGCAUUUCUAAUUUCCUUUCUAGAACUCUGUAAACACGUGCAUAAAUGGAUGAUACAAUUAUGUUAUCCAAACAAAAUACCACACACGCGUAAUGAGCUCUGCCAGGAGAGUAGGCAAAACAUUCGCAAAUCCAGAGCUUAAAAUGUAACAAGCACAACUGUAAUUUAUAAAAGCAAUUUUUGUUUGCCAUCAUUAUCUAUAGUUACUUACCAAGAGUCACUAGAUAAAGAUAUGAGAUACUAAUGUAAACAUAGCUUGAUUUUAAAACUUGGGCAAAUCAAUAACCCUAAACAAUAUAUGCUUAUCUUUACCGGUGAUGCUGUCGGUGUUUAAUUUCCUUUAGAUCAUAAAUUCAAUAGAGUUGACAGUGCUGCUCAAAGCAUGCAGGGGACAUUUUCCCUUUUUAAUAUCUCAUCCUAUUGAUCAGUUUCUUUUACUAGUAAAGCUUUCUGUAGGCCAUUUGGUCAGUAAGACAAUUCCUGAAAGUGUCAAGAGGCAUAUAAUUCAGUGUCUCUCUCUAGUAAGAAUAAAUGGGGAAAAGAAGGAAAAAAGGCUUUCCUUUCUGUCAUCACCCUUCUUAGAUUCUUCAGGUUUUCCAGCACUGUUUUUUUCCUCAUGAAACAAUUUCUCUGGAGGAUUUACCUGUUUAUAAAAUCCUUUUCUCCAAUAUAUUUGCCUACUAACAUAACAUCUCCUUUAUUACUGUGAAUUCAAUGCAACACUUUUUUUUUCCUUUGCUGUAUUCAGGAUAAUAUCCAAUCAGUUCUACUCUGCAUACUUUAACAGUCCCUCAGAUACUGUAUAACAUCCUGUAAGACCUGAUCUUGUUCUCAAAUUAUGAGAUGUCUACCACCACUAUGAGGAAAAGUCCAGACAGCUCCUGCCCGAGCAAAAGUCCGUAGAAAUGAACAGAAGUCUCUCAGUUGAGUCACUGCCUAUCAAGGCAUGAGCAGUAGUCUCAUAUCAAAUGUGCACCACAGGAAUGUUAGGGAAUGGUUCAUAAGUAUAGAACUUUUGCACUACAUAUAUAGCCAGAUGCACAGAAGCAUACAGCUUAACUUAGAGAGUGGAUUCAGGUUCUGUACAGUUAUUUGUGUAUAUCCUAUGAAGUCUGAAGCCUUCAGAGCAAAUAGCUUUACAGUAACUUAUAUUACACAUUUAGACUAAGUGAUGUGCAUCAGCCCUCUCAAAUUCAACUGGGAAAUGUCUGAAUCUGUCAGCUGAAAAGAAAUGUCAAAGAAAUAAUCCAGCCUUCACAGACAUGAGAAGUACCGUCAUAUUCUUACAGGGCUACAUUUGUGAACCUCCAAAUAGUUUAUAUUUAGCAUCAUAUGCAGUUUUAAAAUUUAUGUAAAACAGCAUGACAACUGCAGCCAUCAGUAUUCAGUAGUGUAUACACAAGAUCUCACAGAUAUAAAAAAAGGCUCUAAUACCAUUAUGCUUACUAUCUCUAAUAUUCAAAGCUUGCAGUUAAAGUAAAGCCGUGCCUUGAUGGCAACAAGCAGUUGUUCUCAGUGGACAAGGUAGCACCAUGUGGUCUUAUUAGCUAUGUUGUAUUGCUUUCUGCUAAGUACAUCUGUGAAAGGAAGAUAUUGGUGGGCAUUCACUGAGAGGAAGUUCAGAUCACUUUAAUUCACUACAAAAGCCUACAGACCUGGGGAGAAAAAUGUUUACUAUAAGCCUCAGUGGCAAGCCAGCAGCAUUAAUCAAGAACAGUUCUGACUGCAUCAUCCCAGGAUGAUUAGAAGAAACAAAACUUUUAGACAGGAUCAAGAUUUUCACUGUAGGAGCAGAACUACUAUAAUGAUCCAACCUGAAGAGACUGUCCUGAAAGAAUCCCUGAUCUGCUUCUAGAGCUACCUUUAUGCUCCACCUGUGAGUGGAGCCAGACUGAUCAAAACAUCUUUUUCAUGUGAGUGAGCAUCACAGCUAUGUUUGGAAUACAAAGGAAAUGGUUGUUGAAAAUUCAAAGCAAUCCCAGGAUGACUGUUCUAAACCUAACAAGAAAGGUACUAGCUAACUCAGAUGGAUACUGCAUGAGGCCAUCCUUUCCACUUCUACAAACUGGUGUACAUCAACUAGUUAGAAAAUAGCACACUGAUUAGAAAAUGUUGAUGAUAAGUAGCCAAAUACACAGCGAGGAAGAAAAAAAGUUUUUAACAUGCCUUUUUAAAUUUUUUUCUAUCAGAAUACAUAAAGCAUAAGUGCAACUGAUCUACAAGUACCUGAGAAUAAGAUAACAUGAAAAAAAAGUUCCUUUGCAGAAAGAUGUAUUGGAAGGUCUUUAAAAGUGUUGGGUUUUUGUUGUUUUUUCCCCCCUCAAGAAUUACUUCAAUGCAAACUGCUUUUUUUUUUUUUUUUUUUAAACAAGAGAUUCAGGAGUUUGCCUUAAAAAGAAAGAACUCAAUUUCAGAUUUCCAAAAGGCUCUUAAAAUAAGAAGGACAAUUAAACCUCAUCACUACUGUAGCUGCAGAAUGCAGCAAUGAUUGCAUUUAGAAAUGCUUCUUACAAACAAGUGUAUUUGUUUAGGCAAUACAGAUUUAGGGUCCCUAUUUUCAAAGGAACAGGAGAGCAAAUGAACUAUACUCCAUGGGGACUCACCAGCUUGGAAACAGUUGCAAAGCUGCCUGGAAAUGAAGAACAGGGCAUGUCAGCCAGGGAAAUAUCUUUCUCUGAGGAUUCUUCAGUAACAACAAAAGCAGCCCUAUUGCACAGGUCAGGCCAAAAAAAAAAAAAAAAUUGACUGUGUAAUCCCUAUUCACCAUUACUUGUAUUUAUCCACCCAUGAUGGUAGUAGAUUGUGUGCAUCUCCCUUCUCAGCAAUUCAUCACAGAUGGCCGGUUAUGAAAGAGCUCUGUUCACUGCCUCAAGCUCCACCAUCCUCUGAAUCAUGAAUGAAGACAACAACAAGCUUUGAAAUCCCAGAAGCUAGAAAAGAUAACCUCUAGCAUGACAGAUCACAAGGGCAGAGAUUUACUGUAACAGCAACAGAAACAUGUGCAGAAAGUGAUAAAAAUUAAGGUAGGACUGAUUCAGCCCUUUGGUUUGUACAAAAAGUCAUCAGUUUAAAAAAUGAAGGAUAUAAGUUAGAAGACAACAAACUUAGCUGACCACAGUUGAAAAAAACACCUCUCCAAACUGAUGAUAAACAAUAGGUCAGGUUUACUAUGUUAUCUCAUUCUCUAUCUCGUCAUUUUGUAGUCCUCUUCAUCUAGACUACAUAUAAAGUCAUCAGUACUCUACAAUGCUCCUUACAAACAACUAUUGUGUAGACUGUAUAAAUGAUACAAGCUGAAAUAAGCAAAUAAUAAAAACAAGACAUGAGUAAACCACUGCAUUUUAAUAAAAUAUGUGCACAUCACAUCUAUACUUGGUGGCACAGGCUUCCAAUUAUGUACAGUUUCCAAAGUUGAGACUUUCAUAAACAGAACUACAAGAACUCCUGUUCUUCUGUGAAGAACGGUCAUCUCUUUGUAAAGCAAAAGUAAGUUCAAGGAUCUCAAAUAAUUGUCUGUUUUUAUGAGUCUUUUUGUUACAUAAGGCAGCGUUUUUCCUUCCCAGAUGUUGGAUGCAUUUCAUUUACAUUUCAUGAUUUUUUUUUUUUUUAAAUACAAUUACAACUCAUCUAUGCAUUAUUCUUUUGGAAGUGUUUAUUGUUAAAGCAACUGUUUGAAUUCCCUACUUGUUUUUUUGUGUCUAGUUGUAUUAGAAUUGACAAGUUGUAUCAGUAACACUCCCAUCUACAAAAGAAUCUUUAAAAAAAUUCAAACCAGUAGCUCAACAGCUAGAGAGUCUGAUACUCAGAACACAAAUAAAUCUCAUCCAACUGUUACUAAAAACAAUCUAACCUGCUACUGCCUUAAGCACAUCAGGUAAAACUUCAACCUGAUAUUCUGGCAAAUUCUUUGCUUCAUAAAUACAAAAAAGUGAAAUAAGAACUAAAUUCCAUCCUAUUCAAGGAACAGUAUGUCUGUCCUUUAAUUAAUUCAAUAUUGUCUUUAUUAAUUGAAUUUGAGAACAAAAAAAUUACUCUUUCCAUAAAGACUGCUGACUCUCCAUCCAAUAAUGACUCAUCUUAAUUCAGAGAAUCAUAGUCCUGUCAACCCAUCAAUUGAAUAGCACUGAUUUGUGGGCACCACUGAAUGUAAAUAAAGUAGGAUAUUCAAAUUUACGCAAAAAUCAGCAAGAUAUAUUACUUUUACUGUGAUAUUUAAACGUUAAAAGCAGCACAAGAUAUCUAAUCCCCCAUUACAGUCUCUGUCCUUGCCACACAAAAGACAAGUAGUUUAUCUGUAGCUUAGGUUACAAGCACCAAAAAAGAUGGUACUACAGGAUAGACUCUCUGGAAGCACCAUGUGAAUAACUGUGUCACUUGCAAUUUGAAGGCACACAUUCCAGUAAACCUGUCAUCAUACUCUCCUACUUUCUUCCUGGAUGGGCCACUGAACUGCAAAUGUCCCUGACAGAAAGCUGGGUUUCUGCCCAUUUGAUUAUCUAGAUAAAUAUACUUAAACAAAUAAAAACUUUCUGGAUGUUUUCAAGGAAAAAAAGAAAAAACUGAAUCAACACAUUUUGAACAUUUCUUUUAGGACUUCUGUAGCACAAAAACAGCAGUGAAAGACUGCCUGGUCUUCAGAAAGGCCCAAUGAAUCCUUCUUACUGAGUACAAUGGCUGAUUUGUCUAAGGGUGCUAAAGAGAAGCAAAAUGCUGAAGGAAUCCCUGACAGACUCAGGGGGCAUGCCAAGGGUUUUAGGAGACCAGUCAUUAUCUGGACUACUAUAACCUCUCAGCAUGCUCUCUUUGCUUACCAUGGACUUCAGGAUUGCUGCACUGCUCCAGCUUGCACUACAAAGGCUUGUGUGAGGCAGCAAUUAAGUGACUCAUGGAAAAUAUCAGCAAAAGAUGCAGGACAUAUAGGUGCAAAAAUGAAAUUCUUCAAUUGCCAAGACAGUACGUGUUUUUCUGUGUCCCUACCUGGUCAAAAUGCCGUGAUGUAAUUGCUUUCUGAAAUGUUUGAGAACAUCUAAAUCAAAUAUUUAUCUCCACCCCCACACUCUAUCUUCCAAUGAUGUUUGUGUGCCUGCAGCAAGAUUACACCUGAGUAAGCAUCUGCCUGAAAGCCAGGCACCCUGAGCAAUUGUGAGCAGUACUUGAAACCUACACGCAGAAAAGAAAAUGCGGCCUCGGCCUACUUGUAUGAUGGAUUUACAGAAUAUGUCUUGAGGAAAGGCUAUAACCAUUCAGAAAGCAAGUUACCUUGAAUAACCUGAGCUUGUUCUGAGAAGGAUUUUAAAAUCAGGACCAGAAGACCAACAGAGACUAUUUCUGCAUAGCUCCCAGCAGCUCUAGGCCUUGUUCCCAAGAGAGAUAAACACUGGGUCUGUGGCCAGCCCAGACAGACAUUCAUGCUAAUCUGCUUUAGAUAGGCUAGCCCGCAUUUCUAUGAACUAAGCAUUGAACUGGAUGUUCUAGGUUCUUAUUACAGCUCUUCUACAUAUAUUUUGCAAAUUCAAAAUUUACAUAUUGAAAAACAAAACUUUUUUUCAUGAGUGCAGAAGUGUCACAAGAACACACUCUGCUUCCUGCUGCUGUAUGAAAUAAAUAUCUCAAGUGCUUUGAAAUACAAUCAGUCUAGCCAUCUAAUGGCAAGCUCUAUGAAAUCAUCAUAAAGGACUACUUCUCACUAGGGGGAUUUGAAAGCAAACUAACUUCAGAUUUUAGAUAUAUCAUAAAUAAUCCAUAUAUGUUUUGAACUAUUUCUGGCUGAUAUUAUUAGACAAAUCUAAUAAACUUUAAUGGCCUUCAUCUUGGUAUUAUACCAGUCUCUUUUGUAAGUGAAGCUGAGUUCAUAACCUUUCUCCUCAGAAUGACAUAGGUUUCUGGCUCCUCCUUCUCAUUUACUAUUAGAAAAACUCUUUGUCAUGAACCAAAAGAGGAAGUUUGACAAAAUGUAGCUUGUAUGAUGCAUGCAGGCAAUCCACUCAAGAGAUAUUGCGUAAAUUAGUCACUUUCUGUACAUAAUGCUUUUUCUUUCAUAUCCAGCUGAACCUUGGUUGUAUUUAAAAUAUAUAUAUUUUUUCCCUCGAGUUAUGUCUCAUUUUGAAUACAGCUCCAGAUUUUGUGCUAUUUACAGUUUUAGUACUAAUUGUGACUUUGAGUGCAAUGCCUUCGUAACUUUUGCAAAUUGCCACGUUAAGUGGUAAGUGCUAAGUGCUCAUUAGCUGUUAAAGAUGCAAUAGCCUUUAAGUAGACUCCCUCCAUGCGUAUAAAAAUGCUAACUCUUUAUUUUGCUCCCCCAUCUCCAAGUAAUUUAUUUGAAUUUUAAAAGCACUUCCAUCUUCUCAAAACAUUUAACCCAAAUAAUGCAAGAUUCCCUUUUAUGUUUUGUGAUAAGAAGACUUAUUUGAAACGGUGAAUCCCAGCAAAAGUGGUACAGUACACAGCUGUACAUGGUGAAUCCUUGUAUAAGUGGCACAAAACACAACUUUAUAAGUUUUUGCUGGAUAAUACCUUAAAAAGAUGAAACUCAUUGACCUCCAUUUCACACAGCAGAAGAAAUUCAAAAAUUUUCUGGGCACCCUCUCUCAAUCUGCUCCUGUCACCCAACUGUCAUGCAGAUGAGAGUGGCAUUACCUCUAGCACACAACUAAGUUGGUUUCACAGGGAAUGAAACAAAAUUUGGCAGAGACAAAUUGAGAUCCAAUUCCUAGUGAGGCAUGUACUGAAAAGGUAGGUGGUAACUGGAGUACCCAGUUCCUCUAAUUACAAGAACAAAUUGUCCAUUACUCUUGAAUGCAUACAAUGCUCUUGAAUAGCACUUGAAAAUACCAUAUGAUAUCUUCACAUUACCCAGUAAUUUCUAUUUACUAGCUUAAAGGUUACAAUGUCUGAAGACAACAAACUCAUAGGCUGGUUUGAAAAAACACACAAAGUAGCUAUUUGCUGAAGCUCUGCAAACCAGAAUGUUCCUUGCAAAUGUUUAAAUCAUGUCUUCUUCCCAUGCUACCAUAUGCAGGCAAUUAUUCACUGUGGGACUGACAUGCAGGCCUGAAAGAAAAAGGUCUGAACACACAUUUCACAAUAGUGACAGCAGCACUGCAGCAAAGUGGACAAAAAAAAUCCACAACAUACAGUUUCUCCUACAUGGUGAAUUCAAAGGUCACUUUGCAAGAACCAGAAUGAAAGCUACAAGCUUUUAUUCUCAAGUUUUGAUGCUCAUUUCAAAAGAUUGUUCAACUGUUUCACUUUCUGAUGAGGUUCUAUCUACAUAUUUCUUUAAAUAUCCUAACUAGAAGACAUACUGAAGGACAAUCUGUCUGUUAAGAAACAAACCUACUAUAAAUCUAGCAAAAAAAAAGUCUACCAAAAGGACAGUGUGCAGUACAUAGUGACAGCAACCAUAUUUCCAAGAAACAUUUUGCAUGAAUUCCUACAAGAGUAGUAACUUCUUCAGCACCAAAGGACACCUCACGCACUCAAACAUCAAACUGUAUCACAGAAGCCUGUAUGUAAAAACACCAGAAAAUCUCUGAACGGCAUAAAACAAUUAGUGAGUUGCCCAUUGCAGAACUGAGCUGUUCCCUGUAAGACAUAUCAGAAAAAGGAAGACAAAGAUCAGCUUCACUAAAUCUCUUACACCAUCUCCAGAAGGUGUCAAUUCAAGAUUUCCCCCUGCAAUUGUUUUGAUCCUGAAAGACAUGAGGUGCAGCACACGUACAGACAAAGAGUAAGGCUGCUACUUCUCAGUGCAGUGUGACAGUAGAAGCAGCACCACUGAGGCUGGACAUCAGGCACAGCAAGAUGUCAAAACCACUUGCACAUUCAGUCCUUUGCAAUCUGGAGAGCAAAGCAAAUGAGCUGCAGUAUGGCUACUGGCAGUCGGUGCUUCUGCAUCUCAAGAGAUAGUAGCUGAAGUCCAAUUCUGAACACGUGUCCUACUAGGGCCCCCUGGGAACUGAAUGGAUGAUAUCAAUUUCCAAGGAUUUUAUACUCUGGCUUUGCUCCAAUUUAGAGCAGAACUGAAACACCUCAGAUAAUCUUGGAAGGGAAAUUCCAUGGCUCUUCUGUUUAUUUUCUGUUUACAUUUAUUUCUACAGAAAUCAGAAUAGAUAAAAAUGAAUUGAAGGAAUCAUUUCAAAACAAAGAUUAAAAAAAGUAUUUCAAAGCAUUAAAACAUGCUCUGUCUGGCAGUCUUAUUUCUUUUGUUUUUUGAAGCAGAAGUCUACUGCAGUUGACUUGGUUUUAUGAAGUAUUUUGAUUUCAACAGAACUGCAUUUUCCAGGGUGAGCCUUCACACUCCCAAAAUUUGUAUAUUUCUUCCAUCUGUCUCUCACUUAGCUAAAAUACAUUUCAAAUUUUAUUCAUCUUUUAUCCUCAGCUCAUAAAACAGCCUUUGCAAUUCCCCAGUUGAUGCCCAUGUUCCCAUUAUCUACUGCUAAUUUAUUUAACUCUUAUCCUGUGAAAGUGUGUGGUUACAGGGUCUGUCAAAGGCAGCUCCAAUGUCACAGCACACCUCAGCUCAACAAAUAAAGCACUACAUACAGCGCAUCUGCAGUUCUACUGACUUCUUCAUAACCAAACAGCAAGAGUCCAGGUCAUAUCCACCAGUCUCAAAUAACUGUGCUGCUUUGACAAUAUUGCAACCAGCAUAAAAUAAGAGAAACCUCAGUGAGUUAAGUGCUGCACAUACUGUCCAGUGAUUCCAACUGCUUUCCAGCAGCAUAACUUCUUCCUCUCUGCUAUUUAUCUACCUGAUCAAAGCUUGCCUUCACAGACCUGUGUGCCAAAAGUGAUGAUUUUCAGACAACCACUAAAGAUAAUCUGAAGGUACAAUUGCUCAGGUAUCCUCCAUCACAGUGAGAUGGAAGGCUUCUCCCCAGAGGGAAAGAUACACCAGCAACAGAAGGACUCAGACUUUUACUAACAGUACAUGAGACGUCAACAAGGCAUUCUCUGCCACAAACAGGAGUAUGCAUCAUUUGUGCGUCUCAACCUGCUGAUGAGCAACAGAAAAUGACUUCCCCCAGCGUCACAAGCUUGUUAAGAAUUCAUAGAAUGCAUCCAAAGAUAAAGACUCCUUUGAUACACAGAAAAUACAUGACUAAUACAUAAUGAAUUGUAGAAAUGAUGGGUGGGAGAAAGCUCUGGGGUCAUCCAGACUAGCCUGUAAGGGUGACUGCAAACAAGAGAUAACGUCAGCUGUGACUUUACUUAGAUAACUCUAGAAAACCUCCAGGGACCUUAGAACUGAUACUAAAAUAUCUAUUUCUGUGCAUGGAAAAUUUAAGAUCUGGAAAAUGACAAAGCCAUCAGACAAUUCAGAAUUAAAAAAAUAUAGAAAGCAUAACACACAUACAAAAUACAUUACACUUACUUUUGAAAUAGUGCUGCCAAAUUUAAAAUCAGGCAACAUGAUCAUUAGCACACUUGAAACCCUGCCACACUGAAAAACAACAUGUCUCCAAAAUGGCUAAAGCCAGGAGAUGUCAGGAAGGCAGGUGGAAAAUGUCUAAGAAAAUAGCAAAAGCAAUGAGAAGGAGUUUGGGUGACUAAGGUAUCACAAGAAGAUAUGCACCUCUUCUUAUUUGGGUCACCAGUUUAAAACUGUAUGAGCAAAAACACAUUCCUCACUGUGGAAUAAAGAUGUGACAAAACAAUCUUGAAAUAGGAUGAACAGACCUUCCCUUCUUUUCACCUACCUUCAGAAAAAAAAAGAAGUCCACCUCAUGGAAUUUCUUUGGUCUUGUGCAUGCACACAUCAUACCUGAAAGUUCAGUCUGGAGUUAGAUCUUCACUAAAUUUGUGUAGAAAAUACUUCUGGAUAUGGAGAGAACUCUCUACCUCCAUAACUCAAUCCACAGAAAUCAAUCCAGACAGGAGAAAAGGCACCAACAGCAGGACUUCUAGUUUGUCAAUGUCUUCUCUUUGCAGCAAGAUCCUGAAUGAGCAAUUGUUCAAUUUUCCAUUCAGAUGUUCACUAAAUGUAAAGUUUCAGUGAUAUUUUUUGUCCAUAGCUUUAUUUCUAGAGGGUCACAAACAAAAACCAGAAGCUGCUUGGCAGCUAGAGAUAUUUCUGAAAAAUUCUAUAGGUAGAUGAUGGAGAAACAUCUGAUUGUGGGUUGUAGAUUCAGAGUAUUAAGAUCCAGACUUCACAAAAAGGUGCAAAAUUGAGUCUUGAAGACAGAAAAAACCCACUGAGCUUAUUAUUACAGAUGUUUGAAACAUGUUACUGAUAACUCCCAUAUACAGAAAGAUCUAAGUGUUGCAUCUUGAAGAAAAAAAGACAUGAGCCAAAAUUCCAUGCAUGUCUUAGGAGACUAGAAGAUCUCCAAGCACCCUGCAUCAUUGCAACGGCACCAUAGUUCAUGGGAUAUGCUCUAUUCUGAAGCCUUCAAAACUACUUCAUACUGUUCCUCCCAUUUGUUUCACAUUGCUGACAAAAACCACUCAAAUCUUGAUAUUAGUCAUUCACCUAGAAUCCUGGCUCAUUAACCUCACAAAAAGAAUUGGGGACUACCUCUCUUAGCAGGCAGGCGUUUCCUCCUGGUUUAGUAUUAUGAGGCCUUCAGGAUCACAGUUAACUCAGAGAAGCUUUAUGGGCUGAGUGACAUGCCCAUGAGACUGAAAGGUCAGCUUCUUUCAGUUAGAGUUAUGGAGCAUCCGCAAGGAGUGAAAGCUUCUACAGCUGCCAGUGCCCCCAGAGAUGUCCUGCUGAUAUAUCAAGGACCUCUGAUUUCAGUGGGAAAAAGUUCCACUCCAUUUUUAAUCAAAAGCAUGUCCUUAAAAGAGUGUAAAUAGAUAAAAAUGUAUAGAAAUGACCCAAAGGAAUCUAAUAACAUCAUGAGCAAUUGUCUUGAAUGGGUUAUGGCAUCACAAAGGGUGUCCUGUUAUUUCUUAGAGCAUUUUAAAAAGUAUCCUUCUUCUGUUUAAAAUAGAAAAACAAUCACAAGACUAGGAUAUGCUGAUUGUAUGGUAUCUUCAAAACUACAGCCAUGCUCUUUUGAACUGCUCUCCCAGUUUCAAAAAAAUACCUUUCAUAUAUAUUAAAUAAUCCUUAGAAAUGCAAAUAUUAAUGCUAACCAACAUAAAUGAAGAACUGUCCUGAAGACACUGAAUUCUAAUAAUAUUUCCUUUACAUCUACAAGUGAAAUGCUUUUCUCUUCUCCAAUCUUAAAUGUUAUUAUGUCUGAUUACACGUUCAGUUUGUUUUUUUGCUCUUUUGUUUCUCCACUGGACCAUUUUACAAACAGGUUUAAGCACAGCAGUUAACAUUUCCCUCAUCUAGACACUCAUCUCACUUAAUCGAGCAGAGUUCUAACAUUUCUGUAUAUGACUAAGCACACAGCUUUGUUUAGCAAUGCAAAGUUCCUUGAUCUGCUUGAGCAAAGCCUAGAAUACAACAGCAGUUUUGUUCUGUGAUUUUAAUGAAGACAAAAAAUUAGACUGAUUUAGGUCAAAGAAAAAAAGCAUGCUAAAAUGCUGUAAAGUUAAAAUUCAGCUGCAACAGUAAAAACUCAUCCAAAUUAAUUAUAAACUUCAUGAAUACUAACUCAAAGAUAAUACCAGUUAACACUGCAUUUGCAACAUUUUUCUUCACAAUUAUACUGCAGUACAAUGCUGCAGUAAAAUUCCCUGUUUAUCUUGCCUCCUCAGAAUUUUUCUUUCCUAUCUGUCAUAGCAAGAAGUGAAAGUAUCAUUGUGGUGCCAUGAAGAUGUCCCACUUUUUGCCAAUGUGGCUGACUUCAAACAUCACAUGUUAUAUAUCAAAAAUAUUUAUCCACUUCCUGGCACUUUACCGCCAAUACAAAGUUACUUUCAUAAGUAUUCAAUUAACAAAUAAAUCAUUACCUGCUAACUGUUAUAUUGGUUCUCCUACAGAAUUUAUUUCAUAUUCAACAUUGGUUAGUCAGUAACAGGUUCAUAUAGAUCAUCAUUUGGACUUUGAUUGCUGUGGGAGGAAAAAUAUUGUAGAAAAAAAGAGGAACAGAAAUGACGAAUUAGACAUGAGUCUCCAGGCAGCCAAGCUGGCACAGGACCCUAAAGAGGAGUUGACCAGCUGCUUGGAGUAUGGGAUCAGGAGCCACAGGUAGGCAGCUGGAGAGGUAGGGGGAGCAUGGCAAGGCAAGAGGAACCAGCAGCACAGCCUCUGCUCUCAGGGAGAUAGCAGAAGCACAGAGUGACUCGUGGCAUAUGUAUUGCCUUCGCUGGGAAAAUCUAAGGCCUUUGCUGUAGAUGCAAUGCUUUCUCUCUACACCUUGUGAGAUGGUGAAUGCCACAAAACUAAUUAUUGCCUUCAUUAUCCAAAUGUAAAAAUUUAAGGUCAGGUUAAUGUUCUUCCAUACCCAACCUGUAAUUCCACAUACUAGCAGUUGGAAAUGCAAAGAAAAUUAAAAUAUGCUUUAGAUAUACUAGUUAGUUAGAGGAAGAGCAAAAAAAUAAAAAAAAUAAAAUAAAUCAAGGCUGUCUCCCUCUGACUUCCAAGACGCCAUUCAAGUCUGCAAGAUAGAUUCAUGCACGGAUCUUACACAUGACAUCAAGAACUGCAGCAUGCUCCUAAUCAAUCCAACUGGCAAUAUUAAUUUCUGGACAAAUGAAAAGGCAGAUGGAUUUCAUGUCAUGCUACAUGCCUGACAAAUUAAGUUACUAGUGGUUACAAUAAAGGUAUUAAAUCCACAAAAUAGAAAGGUGUCAUUAUUAACUACACUAUACUGUAACGCUCCUGAGUUUCAAAAGCAUCACUGAUGAAUUAAGAUUUCUGCAGGAUGGCAGAUGAAAUGCCUCAAAUAUGAGAAAAAAAACUGUCAGCAAGAGUCAAGAUAAACAAUGAAAGAUUAAAAAGGCUAUGUCUAAAAUUCAAUCAUUAAUUUCAUUGAAUUUCUAAGGUUUCAGAAAAAGCAUAGAAUUGAAAUUCCUACAUCCAUCAACAACUCUACCUAACAGAACAUCUCACAGAAUCUUUCUUAAAAAAAAAAAAAAAGACAAGCUUUCCAUUUUGUUUGAAACACAAGGCAUUAUGAGCAACUUGAGCACAGUAGGCAGGAAAAAUGAGUAUGACAAAACAUGGAUCAGAGGUUCAAACAGCUAUUUAACAGCUAAAUUUCGUAUUUCUGACAGAAGACACCAACCUCCUGGUAUAGCUCUUAUCUCUUAUACAUAGUAUUCAGUAUUUCUCAUCAGACUACAAAAAGAGAAAGUGAAACCAAAAGUCAAUGCAAGUGCAACUGUCUCUAGCUGCCAGUGGAGUCAAUGUAGACCAACACAAAAGUAUUAAUAGUUAGCCACAGGAACGAUGUCAGUGAAUCAGCUGAUUUAUCAUUCCACUGUUCUAGCCUCUGGUCCACUUAAAACAUUGUUUACCAGGAUAAAUCACUCAGCCUAGAGUAUCACUUCACAGUACUCAAAUAGAUUAUAACUUUGCACUGCUGCAAAAGCAAAUUCUUAACCAAGGAGUCCACCCUAAGUAAAUGGGUCCACACCAAGGAACACAAGAAAAGCAUAAUAGCAUAUUAUUUUUUACAUAUAUAGAAUAUCUUUUAAAAUAAAGACACUCUAGGUCUUUACACUUUAUUUCAAAUAUCAUACUUAACUGAACCCAAUUUCUUGCUAUGAGAAUCUGACGUACACCGCAAAGCUUCCCGGGAAUCACUGAAAUGGCACCUGAAAGGACCAGACUAAUGCAGCAAGGAGACAAGUUGUGAAAUCUCAGAUGAGGUACUCAACCAGAAGUUAAAUAAAAUUGAAUGAGAGUAAGAAUUCUAAAAGCCAUAUAUAACAGCUUUUCUUGAACUACUAGUGAAAUUUACAGCCUCAGCAUCACUAUCACUAAAAUGUGCUACUGAGCCAAAUGCACACCAAAGUAAAGCAUGCCAGCAUGAAUUAUUCAUACUCUGAUGUCCUAAUAGAGACUAUAACUGUUAUACUUCCUAAAAAAUUGACAUAAUGUAAGAAUACAAAGAACAAAUGUUUCUCCCGUGAACAGAAGGUAGAUUCAGUUCAGGACAGAAUAAUACCUAAUCAGGUAUACAAAGAGAAAGUCAUUAUUGCAAAAUAAAUAAAUAAAAAUAAAAUAAAAUAAAAACAGUAUUAGUAGUACAGGGAACGGAAGAGAAUGUCUAUGAUGCAAAGGUGCAGAAGGCUUUGUUUGGGUAGGAAAGUAACAAUGUAAACUUGCCUACAUUCAAAUUAGUUUCUUUCCAUGGUGUAAAAAAAGAGACUAUGAUCAAAAAAAAGUUCAAGUCAGUGAACCAUUCUGUAAUGUUUUCAGCUAAAAAAUAUUAUUCCCAUCAUCACUUUUGUUCUACUAGAAACAGUCAACAGGACACAUGGUUAUUGGUUCUAAGAGUCCAGGACUAGACAUACUACUUAACUAUAUCAUAAACAUUAGCUUUUUGAUUACACAAGGUUGAAUUUGUGAAAGAUUAAUGCUCUGAUUUAGAAAAAAAAAAUAAAGUGUGAAUAACCAUCUUCUGCAGUUCACUUCCAAUUCCAAACGCAUUUAACCAGAUGUAUGCUCAGCCAUGCUCAGCUUUAGGAUCUACACAGCUUUGAAAGCUUUGAAAGAAUUCAAAAGUUUUAGUCCUUAUCCCUUCCAAAUAAUUUUCAAAUCUUUAAAAUUGUAUGAGCUCAUUAUCUCAUGGUGCAAAAGCACUUACUAUUACUGAAUAAUUUUUCUCAGAAUACCAUGAAAGAACAAUAGAAAGUAUUCAGAAAGUAUACAAGCCUGGAUGUGAUUUUUAUUUCUAUAUGCCUUUUUUUUUUGUUACCAGGUAGAAUUUUUCAUGGUUCCCAUGCGCUAAUACGAAAAUUUAGAGUGAAAGCAUCAAAAAAGGCACAUCAUGAAUUUGACUGAUUAUUGACAACUGAGUAAUAAUUUUCUAAAGACAAUUUACAAUUUUAAAAGAUUGUGCUUAUUCUUCCUUGGAGAGCAAAUACUACAGUGUAAAUGCAGGACUAAGAACAGAAAUGUUACUUCGCUGCAUUAGAUCCCAAAUCCGCUUACUUUUCUGUUGAAGUCCAAAAACAGGAUUUAGUGAAAAAUGGCUUGGAAGAGCUGGACCUGCACAAGAACAGGUAGUCUUCAUCAUUCAAAACGUUAACAUGCUUCUGAUGUCACCUGAAAGUUUGUAAUUACUGCAAUUACUGCAAACCGGCAGCUCUGAUUUAAUCUUGAACCUUAAUGAGGAAGUCUUUGCCUAUAUGGUGAUCAUCACGCAGCAGAGACAGACUGUAUUUUUUUUUUCCUGCUAGCUUUGAAGUGUAACAACACAGAUAUUCAAACAUUUUGUAGGUUUAGAGAACUAGAGAAUCAUCUCAAGUACUUCCAGAAGUAAUUUCAUUGAGGCAGCCAGAGCAGCUGAUCAACAUUUAAAGGAAGAGACUGGCAACUUGAGGAGAACCAUUCCAAACAGUGAGUUCCUCCACAUGCUUUUUCUCACACAAAUAAUAAGGUUUUAUUAAAAAAAAAAAACAAAAAAAACAAAAAACCCACAAAACUACUCCUUGGUAUCUGGUAAUUAUCACAUUACCAUACCCCCAGAAUAUUCCAUAGCCAAGACUAUCUGGUCUUUUUCCAUAACUCAAACAGCAUAGCUACAUACCUAGUAAUCAAGGUAUAAAUGGAGGCCUUCCAAUUCAUUUCUGUGCAGCUAAACAGAUAUUUAAAAAAGUGUACUCUAAGUACUGUUCAGUCCACAAUAUUCAACUUUUCGAUUUCCCAGUUAUGAUCCAACUGACCUCCUAAGAAAGCUGUUCAUCAGAAUCAUCUCAUGUUUCUGAUUAAGAAAAAAAAAAAGAUAUUUUCAAAUCUAGCACUUGCUGUCUACAAACACCAGGCAUGCAGGGGCUGAGCACGUGGACCUAUCAAGGCAACACGCAGACUGAACUUAACACAAAGGCCACGAAGCCUUGUUCAUCUGUGUGUGCAUGAAAGCUAGGCAGUUGAAAAUUGAUUGUUCUAACACUUGUUUUUUAGUAAAAAUCAGCUGUAUUUGUUGUGUUUUAUCUGUAGAUCUAGUUGUAUUUCUACCAGAAAGCUUAAAAACCAAAAUGCUGCGUAAGCACAAUUUUUACUUCAGGUUAAACUAAAUGUUGGGGGGGGUCAGCAUUUUAUUUUCCUGCAAAUGUUUUCAUUUUCUGAACAAACCCCUUUCAUAUGAAACUGCAAACUUCACUCUUCUGAUUCACACAGCCAACCAAAGAAAUUGCUUGCAUCACUCUUGCAUCAAAAACAUUGCUUGCAUCGCUACAUGGUUUUUUUUAUAUAUAAAAGUUUCUACUGUAAAUUGUCCUUCUCAGCUCUCCCUCUAGUUAUAAGAACGUCAGGCAGGGUAAUUAUGCAAGUAGGAAAAAGGGAAAAGCUCUCAGACUGCUGCUGGGCAGUAAAUCUAAGUAAACCAACAAUCCCCUCCCUGACAGUAUGCCCUCAGAACAAAUCCUCUUGCAGCAUCUGUUUGAAUGUGCCUGUUGCUUUUACAAGCUACAGUCCUCUGUUUCUGUCUCUUUACGUGGCUGGCUGCUAAGUCGGUAUCAAUCCACGACAAUGUAUUCAUUGCCACCAGUGUGAAUAGAAUGAACCCAAAGAAUGAACUACUUGAAAGAUUUCACUCUACCUGAGGAAUGAUCAGAUGCUAAAGACAGUCAUAUAGCAACAUCUCACUUAAAAAUGUCCCAUUUCUCUCUCAGAAAUAUGAGACUUGAAAAAUUGAUUCAGAAAUACAGACCUAUUUUAGGACAAAUGAUUUUAGGAGAAACACAGUCCUGUGAAAAUGUAAUCAAAAAGGAAAUGGAGCUCCCAGGACAAAAUGGGGUAAGAUCAUUAGAUGUGUCAGCUGAAUACCUUCUCAUUUUGAGAUAUUUAAGGAAUAUCUUUGUGUGCAUCACAAUUUAGCAUGUUUCUCCAACUGCUCACAUAAUUCGUCCCAGAUGCUGCAGCUCCCUGCAUUUUUCAAUGUUUUUCUAUAUAUAUAUCUCCCAAUAAUUUUCUGCUGAAUGCAUGGAUCCCUAGAUAACAAAAAAUUUUACCAGUGGGUUGCUAUUGUUAAUUAUCUUUCAUUGAUCCCUUAGGAGUAGUCCACAGAUGCCUGGAGGUCUGUAAGAUCACAGAUUAAAACCGUUGCUAAACACGUAGCUAUUAUUAUUUAUGUUCCCACAGAAAUGUUACUUGAGUCUUGACAGUACAGUGUAAAACACUCUAUUUACCUGGAGGCUACUGUCCUCUUAAAACUGAGGGAAACUCAAUCCAUUUAAUAAAUGAGGGACCCCCUGGAAUCUCCUACCUCUCCACACCGACUAACAGAUGUACUUAAGGCAGCUGUUCAAGACUGGCAUAAGAGAAAUGCACAGUGACUAUAAUUAAUGGUUGGCUGAAGAUGCUUCCCAUUCUAAGUUGAGUAUCUUAUUGAUGCUAAAACAAGCCUUACUGUAAUAGAUAUUAGGUUACAACAGAGUAUUUCAAUGCAGUGGUUACUUCAAAGCGUAGGUGCACCAGUUCAGGUAGGUUUAUGAAUAGGACAAGACUAAAACCCUCAAACAUAUUGUGUGAAGGUUCACAGCAAAGUCUGUAGUAAUUUGGUGCCUUCAAAAAGCCUGUCUUUUUUUGCAUCUCUUUUGGUCACUUUCAGCAGGCAUUCAACUAUCUGUUUUUCUCACUUGGGAGACAUUCAGCACAGAUUCCUACAAGUAUUUCUGCAGGCAUCAUUUUAAUGAAAGUAAGCAACUUAUUUUGUAUUACAAGAUUCACAAUUAAACAAUAUUAAUAAUCUUAUAGAACUGUCUGCUUGACAGCUCAUGGCACGCGCUUUGUGUAAACGGCUCUAGAAACUCUGUUUUUCGCUGGCAGGAGCACAGAAAAAGAGUAAGGGUAGGAAAGGCUACUGUCCCAUUUCCCAAACUACUUAAAAAGGGAGUAAAGCACUAUUUUACAUUUUAUCUCUACUAAUUUCCUCAGAUGCUGAGCACCAAUACAUUAUAGGAAAUGGAUGCUGACUAGUACAAAGUAAGACUGGAAAGACAUCAGGGGUGCACGCAUGCUGAGAAUGCUUGAACCAGCAUGUACCACUAAGCCUACUUCAUUACAUGGAUUUGGUUUAGACAUUUAACUGUAAAUAUUGUUUCAAAAAUGAGGACAAGAAGCCGCAGUCAUUUCUACUGCAGCAAGGCAAACCUUGUCUGGCGUUUGUCAGCUCAGUAACUAUUUUGUUGUGAAAUGGCGCUUUGGAGUGCUAAUGUGUUCCCCUCAAUUGUUUUUCUUGCCACUAGCUCUAUUGACAGUAAGAUUUGUGUAGUACUGCUAUAUCCCAAAGGUCAUUAUUCAAAACAUUGUUAUACAGUUCCUACUUUCAAGAAUAGAAAGUUAGCUGAAAUGAUACACACAGAGGCUAUUUUCUCCCCAGCUGUUUUGCCAUCAAAGACAACUGAAAAGUUGAAAAAUGAAUAAAUAGUGGAUAAAAUCUUCAGCUGCAAUUAUUUUUGUUUAUAUCUACACAAGAUGUGUAAUUAAAAAGAAAGCAUCACAAUGAGGUUAUGUAAGCCACCAGCACUUCUCACAUAUGAACCUCUUGGCUUCUUGGAAGAUUAAUUGCCAGAAAUAGUGCAAACAAAUGUAGACUCCUAACUUCAAUAUUUGUACAACUGUAAUAUUAUUCAAAAAGAGAUUGGAAUGACAAUUAGUGCAACUUCUGAUUAUUAUGUCUUGUAUAUCUACAAUUUUGGCAGGAAUCUGGGUUGGGAAAUGUUUAAGGAUUACUAAGCUGGUUAUGGAUAGACAAUAUCUUUGUCUUCAUUGAGACGGCUAGAAAAGUAUUGUUUUCCCAUAGUAAAGUUGACACUUUCAGCGACCAAAGAAACUGCAGUACAUUAAGUCAUAAAAGAGCUGUGAAAAUCCAAUGCUAUUUAUGUCCAAGUACAAUACAAUGGGAAAGAUGCAAGACUGAAGGUCUGACUGACUAAUAGGACAUUUACUCCUAGAUAGAAACUAAAAAUUUACCACCACUGUAUCUGUGAAAAUACACUUGGACAGUCUAGGAUUGCUGCCCCAAAGUAAGCCUGCAGAUCAGUCAUGCAAGCACUGCAGGUGAUCAUGAAAUACCUUCUUCACAAUGAUGAUGAAACAGGAAGGCAUAAGGCAUGAAAGCCUGGUAGAGGAAGGAAAGAAAAAGAAGCAGUGGAUGCUCUGAUGCAUAGCUUCAAACAGAAGCAUGAAAGGAACAAAUUAAAGAAAGCAGUGACUCAAAGAGGGCUGUCUCUAGGUCUCCCAAAUCUGAAAUUCAUUAAUGCAUGAAAAGCGUUCUGACAUUAGGAUUUGAGUCAUCGUUCUACAUAUAGGCAAGGUAGUGGUAGUUAAUGGAGAUCCCUUAAGAUGAGCUUCUAGGGUUCAUGGGGUGGAAAAAAUUACUUGGCCUGGAGCACUUUGCAAAACUCUUAGAGGCUAAAAGAGGAAGACUAUUGCAGACACAAGAAUAUUUGUUUAUCUUUCCAUUUCCCCUUUCUUCCUCACUGUUUCACAUUUGCGAAAAAAGCAGAGAAUACUAUUGAGUUACGUGAAUUUCUGUCGUCACUGUCCCUCAGUUUCUUUCCACAGUUUCUUAGGAAAACUCAAUGUAAUAAAGACCAUCUGUUUCUUGAUUUGCUAGGGAACAUUUCCAAGUCUGCAACUCCUGACACAGAGAAUACCUACUCAGGCACUGACGUGUUGCUAUCUGGCUACACUGCAGGACCUGCAGUCAACUGUCAUAUGUGAAAGAAUUGCUGUGUCAGAGGAGGUUUUCAACAUCUUGCCAGCAACUGUUGCAUUAAAAAGGAUUAAGACACACAGUGCUUAAAAGAUGAAAAAUAAAAUCUCAAAAGAAAAAGAAUAAACUUUCUUUUCCUUAUUACUAGCCAAAAAAAAAAAAUCCCAUUUAAUCAGAAACUUUUCCUGGUACCAGACAAUACUGAGUAGAGCUAUGUACUUAAAAUACACAGAUCUGUGAAUUCAGGCCAUUUCCAGAUCUGAUAUCUUUUUUUUUUUCCCCCCAGUAGUAAUCAAGCAUGUAUCCAUGGCAGUAACAGCUUCCCUGAUUCAUGAAGCUGAAUGUUUGGUUCACUGGUUUCAGGUGGAAUUGAUGACAGCAGAGCAGUGCUCAGCAACCUGCAAAACUGAGCUUUUGGAGAAGUGCUGAAAUAUAUACCAGUACAGCUGAUUUUUCACACAGCCAAGUAUCCUCAUCUGUAAUCUUCUAAGCCUCAGGCUGUUCUUGUUCUGGUUACAGAAGUGCUUUCCACUGGCUUAAAUUCUGAAGUCAGGUUCACAAGAACAGGAAUGACAGUUGGUCACUGAGCCACAGAUGUGGAUUCUGUGAAUCAAAUCCCACACUUGGAACCAAGGUUCAAAGUACAGGUUUUCCAUGAAUUUCAGCUUUGAGGCCUUGUUCUGAAAAAGUACCUCAAUGGAUAAAAGCCUGGGUCUUCCACCACUUUUAAUUCAUUCUCUGUUCCUAAUUUCUUUACCUGCUGAAGAUAGAAAUUUGAACCUGAAAGGCUCCUGCAAAUCUCAUGCUUUCUCAUGAACAGUAAUACUUACAUUUAUCUGCAGUUAUAUAGGAAGAAUUGAGUAAACUGCUACAGGAGACACAUCAAGAGUAGAUAUAUGUAUCUAAGAACAGCAUCAAGUUUUGAUGACUCUAGAUUGAAUCUGUGUGUACAUUUUACUUAGUCAUAAACAGCCAUCUGUGGUCAUUUUUGAGGCUGGCAUUCUCAAGAAACAAAGCAUGUCACAUCUAAAGCCAGAAUACCCCCACAACAGACUGCAGUUUGCAGCUGGAAUGAGAUGGUCACCUUAGGAAAAAAAAAAAAGCACGUAGCAUUAGGAAGGUACAGUAUUUCAUUUCCUUAAAAACUUUUGUUUAACAGAACUAUUAUCACGUUUGAGUUAAUGAGUAAAACAGAGAGAUGCAAAAUCAAUAUUUACACAGUGAACCUGUAAAGAUGAAGAUUUCCAGUGUACUGAACAGCUGAGCAUAAGUCUUUUAAAAAAAACAAAAACAGUCCAUAUUUAAAAACUGAUAGCUCUGGCACAACUCAGAGUAGUAAGGGGGAGAGGUAAGACAUGGCUGUAUCUACAUAAACUUCAGUAUCUACAUAAAAGACACUACUUUAUUUUCACGUCUUAUCACAUCAGAGAAAUAAAUAAAACACACUGCCUGUACACAUAUGUGCGUUUCUCAAGCUUGAGUUUUGUGAAAACUGUGAAUAUCUAGGCAGAUAGCAGAUUGAAUAAAUUUCAGUGGUAGCUGAGCUGUUACCAAAUACUGGCCUGCGUUAUUCUUUUUCAUAAUAAAUCUCACCCCCCCCCCCCCCCCCCUCAAAAAAAAAACAAAGAAAAAAAAAGAGCUUAGAAGAAGGAAUUUUCUUUAAGCAUCUAUAUGAGGAGCUCUUAGUCCCUGAUUCGUGUACCAAGUUGACAACUCAAACCACACCUGACUAGCAGAAGAUAUUCUUCAGGUAUGCCCAGGUAGGCCUUCCUUGACAGAAAUCUCAGUGAAAUUAUAUCAAGGUAAUUUCUACACUCAAGAAAGGAAAGCAGUGUGUUCUUUCCCUGUAAGAAUACCAUAUCAGUUCCAAUCUCCUGUAUUCUAGUUUUUCCCAUAUCCAUCUUUAUGAAUACAUCUAUAAUAGCUUAAUGAAGGAUCUGUGUUCUAAGAACUUCUGCCACCUGUAACCAUGUGGCUCUACUACACUCAGAGCAUUUAUUGUUGUUGGCUUUUUUCCUUAUUGUUCUGAAGUAUGGUACUUCAUUUAGCUCUUUGUUGUAACUACAGAGGAAAAAAAAAGACAAGUAAUAUUCAGUCUCUACUAAGUGGCCAAAAGGACAUACAGGUGGGGUUUUGGCUCGUCAUUGCUCUGCAUUGUGAUACUACAGCACAAGGGCUAAAUUGAAAGUUUCAUAUCAGAAAUUCAUUUUGACAGAAAAAUAAUUUGGUGACAAUUCUCUCUGCCCAUCUCCACUUGCCAUUAUUACCCCAUUCCCCCAGAAACAUUUUCUCCCCUGAAAAAGUUUGCCACAAAAGCCUUUUGAUCAUCAAUCAGAGAUUGAACAUUCACACUCAGAAGUAACAGUGUUGCUUGGAUCUAGUUUGAAACGUAUGUAUUCUCAUUCACAGAAUCACAGGGGCUGGAAGGUCCUAUAGAGAACAUGUAAUCUAAGCUUUAGCAGUGGGCUGAUUCUCUACAGUAGGCUGCACAGGAAAGCAUCCAAGCAGGUUUAGAUCAUCUCCAAAGAGAAUCCACCAUCUCUCUGGGCAGCCUGUUUCGGGGCUCUAUCAUCCUCCAAGUACAUAAUACUUUCUCAUAUUCAUAUGGAACUUCUGUGUUCCAGUUUGUGCCUAUUGCCCCCUAUCCUGUCAUUGGACACCACCAAAAAAACCUUGGUGCCAUCCUCUUGAUACUUGUCCUUUACGUAAGUGUUGAUAUUGAAUCCCUCUCAGCUUUCUCCCCUCUAGGCUGAGCAGUCCCAGGUCCCUCAGCCUUUUCUCAUAUAGAAAAGAUGCCCCAAGCCCCCAGUCAUCUUUGCAGACCUCCACUGGACUCUCUCCAGUAGUUCCCCAUCUGCCUUGAAUUGAGUAGCACAGAACUGCACACAGUGUUCCAGAUGUGGCCUCACCAGGGCAGAGUAGAGGAGGAGGAUCACCUUCCUCAACCUGCUGGCCGUGCUCUUUUUAAUACACCCCAGGAUACCAUUCACCUUCUUGGCCACAAGGACACACUGCUGGCUCACAACCAACCUGCUGUCCACCAGGAUAUCCAGACCCUUCUCCACACGCUUCUCUCCAGCAACUCAACCCCAAACCUGUACAGAUGCAUCCCCAGGCGUAGGACACUACACUUACCCUUGCUGAAUUUCAUCAGGUUCCUCCCCACUCAACUCUCCAUGCAUUUCCUUCUCCAGCUCCCUGAUGCCCAUCAGCCUGCCCACAUCCUCCUGAUGUUCUGCCUGCAAGCUGAGCAGUGGUAUGUCACAGUGGGCAGUGGAGGCUGUGCCACAGUGAUGUCAUUGUGACACAGCCACCCUGGAGAGAACAAAGAGGGCUGCUCCCUGGGCAGGAAAAGCAGAUGAGGAAGUUGUAGAGCUCAGGAGAGGAAAGUGAGGGCAGAAAGUGUCCUCAAAGCCCUUCCAUCCAACAGCAAGGUCAGGGGAUUGUAAUCAGCAGUGAGGGUUAGGUAGAAGUCCUGUGGCUUUCCUGAUGCCAGGCCCAGACUGGGCUCCCUUCAUGCUGUGCCUGUGCAAGGCUGCGUCCUGUGUCUGAGAGCACAGCUGUACCUGUGAGAGUGGAGGAUGAGGCUGGGUAUGCCUGCCCAUGGGCACGCAGCUGUACUUGUGCCAGCAUCCACAGCAGCAGCCAUUGCUGCGACUCAGAAUCAUGGCAUGCAUGGCAUAGCCAUGCAGGACUGGCUUGACUAUAUCUUUCACUAUACUAUUGGCUAUCAGAUUCCCAUGAUGCACUAACAAAGGGAUGAGACUGUUUGGUCUAAAAGUCAAGUUCAGAGAAAAUAUGUCCACAGAAAUUUCAUGUACCACUGGAAAAUCUCCAGGCUGCCACAUUUUAGGUUUUAGACACAGUUGCACUUUUUGGCAGUUGCUUCUGAUUUGCCGUUAGUUAUUUUUUGAAGAGCUAUCAUUUCUGAAAUGGGUGAAGGAAACAAACAGCUCUGCUGACACACUCUCUCUGCGUGUGACUUCCUUUUGGUCUUGUACCAUUGGCUGAGGACUUGAGAAGAGCAGAAAAGAAUUUGCCUGUAUAUAUGGUCUUUUCUGCUGAUGAGGCAAGCAGGAAAAAAAAAAAUCAGAAUUGCAGAUUAUAAUAAGUACAUAUUUGCUGAAGAUGGAAUAUCAUUGUGUAAUUAAUUCAAUUUUGCUUAUGUACCAAGAGGGAUUUAGAAAGGACAUGCAAGAAGUCUUGGUGUAUGUCCAACAUGAAUAAGCAUGUAGAGUACCAGUACAUUCAAAAGAAUAUUAUUAACUAUUCCUAAGGUUUUUAUGGACACUGAAAUCAUUGAAGAAACUUGAACACCAGUUACAAUGUGAAUAAUAUGGCUGUCAAAAGCGCAAAAAUGAACAUAGCAUACUGCAUAAAAGCUAAUGACCCACAGAAAUUUCUGAAAAGCAGAAUCAUUUAGAAUGAUAGGAAGGAAAUUUUAUCAAGUGCUCCCUUACGAGAUCCUCCCUAGAAUCAUAAAUUCCCAUUUAGUGGAAAUUAAACUCAAAAAUACCCUGCAGUACCCAUAAUUAGAACACUUCAAGCAUGCCCUACAAGGAAAAUAAACUUCACUUCAACACCAGGUCAUCUAAAGUCUCCCAUCAUUUUAAUCAGAUUUCUUUGAUUUCCGGUCUGUUGCUAAAGGAACAAAUGAAUGACAAAGGAAUGUAUUCCUCUUUUCCAUUCCUUUUUCACUCCCCCCAACAUCCUGGUACUAAAACACAACCUGUUCAUUAUUUAAAACAUUUCUGACUUUUCAUGAAAAUAAAGAGUACAUGACUUAUGUAUAAGACUCUAAUAGAUCUGUGGAUAAAUAGCAUAAUGUAUGCACAUUCUAGAAACUAAUUCUCACAUCCUCACUUGUGGCCUUCAAAAAGACUACUUCAGUAUCCACACUUGAAAACAGGCUACUUUAAUAGCCAGACUGACCAUGGAGUUAAUGACAUACUUAAGUACUUGGAACAGCUAAGACCUGAAACUGUAAAAGUAAGAAGUUCAAGUCCAAAUGUACAUCAGGCAGGAUGCUCUAAAAGAGGUUAUACCCCUUUGCAUCAUACUGCUUCAUUUUUUCCAACUGUUUGUAAAGAUAUCAGUACAGAAAAUUAAAAUACAACAGGUAUUAGGAAGCUAUCCAUGUUAGGGUGCUGCAUUUCUCCAAUUUCUGUAUCAGAUUUUGCUUUCAUAAACAAUUAUUGUACAUGAAAAGUUGCUGUACCACUUCACUGUUCUGCAGUACCUUAGUAUGAACAGAUAACAUGACAUGCAAAAUAGAGUUGCAUCUCCUCUAACAACUUACUUGCCUUUAGCAUAUCUACUCAAACAUUUGAAUUGGUUGAUAACAGGAAAUUUCAUGUGAUUGAUUAUAUUUCACUUUUUCUGAAGCACAAACAUUUUGGGAAAUAACUCCUUUCCUUUAAAUAAAAUUUCUCUUUGCUUUCUUUUCAGGGUCCUCAAAUUGCUCUGUAUUGGAAUUAGUUAUUAACGUAAAUGAGGCUUAAGGAGAAAGGGGCCUAGCCCUCUAUUCUCACCAACAAGCCCACCAGGCUUCUUCAGAAAUCUAUAAUGAAUUUGAGUUCCAUGAUAACAAACUCUUGCUGUGUAUAUAAAAACAGGUAUUUGUUGAAACUGGUCCUUUUCCAGGAAAUAUUCAGUGAAUUGCCAAUUUAAAGUCAGCAAGCAAGUGAAAGCUGAUCUUACUUGUACAAUUCUGAUUAAUUCUUCCCAUAACCACAGCUAUUUAUUUUGACUGCAGCCCGCAUGCUGUUGAAGUGUAUGAGAUACAAUAUAGCCUGACUAGUAAAAAGGCCUGGUUUCAAGAGCCUUACACUCCCAGUUUAGAUGCAUUUAAACGUGCAACUUAGCCAGAUAAGGCUGACACAGUACUCCCUGUACAGAACUUACUGAAAUGGCAUCUGAGUAUUCCAGCAGAAGUGGAAGGGUUAAUCAGAAACCUUGUAUAAAUCACAUUUCACAGGAAUUGCUCUGUUACAACAGAUUGUGCAGCACUAUUUUUCCCCAUUCUUUCUGAUACCAGCACCCUAGGCAAACUUCCUAAUUAGAGCAGCAGAUGUAUGCAGUGCCAUGUCUCUGUGAAGUUAUUAUACCCAAACCAAAUUUUGUCACUUGCAGCCAAUAAUUCAUUUGUCUACUAAGGGCUUGAAGUGGCCAUAUCAAUUAUUUAAAAACACACCAAGAAGAGGAAUCCAUUUAAUAUCUUCUGGGAAGCACAGUUAUAAAACAGUGUAUGCUCAAAUUUCAUUCACAAUAUCAUCUUUUAAAAAAUACAAUAUCACUAAUUAAGGCUUAGUGCAUUAGGCCAUUAGAACUUGAGUGAUUCAUGACAGCAUUACUAUCUUGCUUAUCAUUUGCACUUUAAUUUAUGGGGUCCUAAGAAAAAACAAAGCAAUUUGCAAAACUGAAACUCAUCCAAAAAAUGCUUGUAGUGAUUUCUCCUGAAAAGUGAUUUCACUGUGUAUAAGUGCUAUGCUGGUAAGAAAAUGCUUCCUAUCAAUAAUUAAAGUAUAAUGAAAGUUUAAUGUGUCAGAAGACACCCUCAAAAAAGGGCUACAAAGAAGAAAGUAGUUUUUCAUUCAGACUUUCCACGUUUUAAAACUAACAAUAACAUCCUCCUCGAAGAAGCAUUUUAAAUAAACUAUUUAAUGAAAUAUAUGGCAAUUCAAAGCAGGCUAGAAACCAUAACAGCAGAGAAAAUUAACACAGUUCUUACAGAAGCUCCAGCAGAAGACAGAGGUCUGCACACUGCCAAGAAUCCUUAAAUGCCAAGAAUAGCCAAGAAAGAUAUGGAUAGUUACCACACAGCAAGACUGCGUGCAAAAAGUGGUAGUGAGAGAGCAUUAAAGAAGCCUACAUUCCUACAAAUGUGUGUGGAUUUCAAGAGCCUUAAUUCUCUAAGAUGUUCAGCCACUGACUCCUAUAGAUGCUACACAUCAAAGGUUAUGCCUGAUGCCCAUCACUGCAAAUCUGCAGUCUCCCCUUUGGUGUCAAUGUCCUCCUCAUCCAUCCAGGCACACACAUAAAGGAAACUUUCAGGAAUUACAAGGGCUGCUCCAAAAGUGAUGCCUCCUAUUUUAUUAUGUCAGCCCAUGACAUCAGGGGUGGAUGUUGGUGGUACAGCAGCAGAAGUUAAACCUUUCCACCAAUAUUCUACUUUGUUACUGCGAGACAGAUGGCAGCAGAGAGGCAGUCUGACAAAAAGGCAUCUAUCAUGGAAGUGCAUAUUGAAGCAAAGGUGUGCCAGUGAAUUUCUUCAAGUGAAAAAAGUGACACCCUCUGACAUUCACAUGCACUGCUGAACAUUUAGACAGAACAAACAGUAGAUGUGAGCAUAGUAAGGCAGUGGUUGGUGCAUUUCAGCAAUAGCAACAGUGAUGUAGAAGACAAGCUGCAUUCUUGACAGCUACGUAAACUGUUAAAAGUGCAACAUGCAGGUCCUUGUUCACUGCUGGCAAAAAAAGCAUAGCUAAUGGGGGUGCGUAACGUGAUGGAAAGCGCAGCAAUAACAGCAGAGCAGCAAGGUACCAGGCUACAGCAAGUUAGAAUUUCCUCAAAUGCAACAGCCAUAGGCACAGAAAUAAAGGAAAGAAUCUGCUUACCUUUACCUUCAAGUAUGCAGGGACCUCCAGCGAAAAAACCAAACAACAACAAAAAACCUUGCUUCCACUGCCAACCCUUAAAUGAGGUCUGUAAAGGGUUGGACCCUGGCUCAACCCCUUCCAUUCACUCAGGUGCACUGCAAGCACCUGAGCUCCCCUGGAUUGGCCCUGCCUUCCCACCAGGUGCUCAAUCACUGUUUCAAGCUGUAUCUUACACUUCUGCUACUUGGAGACCACCUUGAAAAAGAAUGUUUUGUAACUAAGUAUUUACUCAAUCAAGUAGUGUUAUUGUGUUCUUUGUAUCUGUUGUAGUUUAUGUGGAAAUAAACAGAAAACUUUACUUUUGGAGCAACCUAAAUAGAUUGUAUUUUGAACUCUUCAGCCCUAUGGCAAAUUUUGGAGCAUAAUGGUGAUUGGAUACAAAAGUUAAUCUAGACAAGAAGAAGGAGGCAAGAAGCAGGCUGUCAUAAGCCUUCUAGUAGAAGAGUCUGAAAAUAACAGUUAUUCUGUGUACUGGUGUAAAAUAACCACACCUAAAACCCACAAUGACAGAAGGUACGCAGGAUUUUCAAAGAAGUCCUGGGAAUAAAAUCCUUUUUAAUAUCAACAGAAGUUAGGGACAGAAGGAUAUUAUGAACGGAUUUUCCAAGAGGCCUACAUUUUCAGCCAGAUGAUCCCAUUGCUUCCUCACUCUCAUUAUUAUUGAUCUCAACUGUUUUCAUACAAUGUGAAAGCACUUACGCUAGCAGGCAGGAGUGAAUUCUCAGCUACAAAACAAUACUCUUCAAUACAGCCACCACCAUUAACUAUGCAUUUUUACAAGUGACGAAUAUGAGCCUCCAUGACACAUUUGCAAAUCUCUGCACCAGCGGAGGUGACCCACUGUUGCUGUUGCCACUGCUGAAACUCACCGCCUCACUGCACUCACCUCCACUGUUUGUUCUCUCUACAUGUUCACAAGUGUUGAUUAAUGUCAAUGGAUGCAUUUUCUUCCACAUGGAGAAAUUCAGCAACAUAUCUGUGCUUCGUAUGCACUUCCAUGUCAGACAUAAUUUUAUCAGACUGUCCCUCUGCUGCCAUCUGUCACACAGCAACAAAAUGUAACAGAAUACUGGUGGGAAGGUUCAACCUCUACUGUCAUACCACCAACAUUCACCUCUGAUGUUGUGGGCCAACAUCAUAAAAUAGGAGGCAUUGCUUUCAGAGUAGUCCUCAUAAAAUACAUAACAUAGUUAACAUAACAAAACUUAUUUUAACUUUUAAUGUUUCAUUGUUGUUGUUUUUAUUAAAACAUACCAAAAAAAAAAAAGCAAAAAAAAAAAAAACCCCAUUAAACUAUUGGGAUACGUGACCUUGUUUUUGUUAAACUGAUGUCUCUGUCUGGUUUGAUGGCAGUGGUUGCAAUUCAUAGUGAGUUCCCUAGGCAUUCAUCAGAGAUUUUUGGUGAAAUUUUACUCUUCCUGUGCUUCAUCCUUGAAAAUAGUUGUUCACAAAUGCACGUAUGACCAAAAAGUGGUGACAUGAAUAAGGCAUGAUUGUGAAGUGAGGGACAUUUCUCUCUGUUAAGACAGGGCUUAUAAGUCUGGUAAAGAAACAUGAUCAAAUUUUGGAUUGCAGCCCUAUAUGUUUCAUUUAAAAACUGUCAGGUAAUGUAUUUAUGUUGACUGAAAAUGGAGUUGCAAAUAAAACAAAAAAUUGAUGAUUUUUUUUGCCAUCUUGAAACCUAGUCUUAAAUUCCUUUAUCAAAAUGGAUAGCAAGGAUUGCAUAAUUUUCACUGUUCACAGGACUGUGUUUAGCCAAUGUAUCAAAAUCCAUAAACUUAUUUACCAUAAUAUUUACCAUAAUAUAACAUAACAGCACUGCACCAUGCCCUGGUUUCAUCCCAGACAGGGUUAGUAGCUCAACAAUGUUUAGUUGUGCUGAGUGAUGACUGUGCACCUGGGUCAGGCCAGGUGGUUCAGCAGGGAAGAGCAGCUGUCAUGAUGGCACACAGCAGGUGGCAUGCUGCAGUGACAGCUGUCUUGGGUCACAUACAGCAAGCAAGCCGUGGGUUGGACAUGCCUGAUCCAGUCCAACCGGCAACCCAACUCCACCAUGCCAACUAAACUAUGUCCCUCAAUGCCACUUUCAUAUGUUUCUUGAACACCUCCAGGGAUGGUGACCACCACCUCCUUGGUCAGCCUGUUCCAAUAAUACUGAAACCUGAUAUUCAAACUGAGUAAACCUUGGGCUACAUCACCUCAGUACACCCCCACCCAAAAGCAGGAAUUCUCUCAUUUUAUUUUCUGAGCUCCAUUACAAUUUACCCAGAACAUCUUGCUCUGACUUUGAUUCCUUCAUAAGUUUCAUCCUGAUCUAUGGAGCACCUAAAACUUUCUAAAGGAGGUGAGAAUCCCUCUGUAGUCAUUAUAAACUUAUUAAUAAACAAGUUGACUUUCUAGAGUUAUUUUGCAAGCCUUGAAAAAGUAGUGCAUGAACAACCAGAGAGAUACUGACCACAGUUUUCAAAUUCUUCUGACAGGACCUCAUUCAAGACUCCAGACAGGCUCUAUGCUGUCCUAGAAAACACAAAGAUCUCACAGUGUUUUUGUCAUAUUUCCCAAGUGUUGUUUUGCUUUGCUCUUACUGUUGUUGUUUUUUUUCUGUUGUUGUUCCUACGUGACGAUUCUUACCAUAGUAACAGCAUGUGGGGAAAAUAAAAUAAAAUAAAAUAAAAUUCAAAAACUAUCCUAGGAAAACAGACCACACAAUGUUGUGAAAUAUCGGCCAGAUUAACAGUUCAUUUUUUAAUCCAAAAUAUUCCAAUUUUCUGAACAGAGGCACUGCAAAGGACACCAGGCUACAUCCUUCUGAGUCCAACUGUUCUGCAGGCACAUGCUGACAAUUUAUUCCCCAACACUGAUCUUGAAUCCCUUCCACGCCCAGGUCUGCAGGACUGGUAUGACUCAGAGCAUACUCCUACUCAAAUGAGAAACUGCAGCCCCAUUAGGUUAAAUGGGACAAAUCCAGUGAGUGAAGUUAUUUACCUGCAUAGGUAUACAUAAAUCUUACUGCUGUGACAAGAUCCUUUUCGAUGAAGAGGACAUCUACACCAGGAGGAAAGGUAGCUCAUUACUAAUUGACUAAGACCUUGCAGAUAAGAUGCCUAAAGUCAUUCUGCCAGCAAGGCAAACAUGAAUGGGCACAGGGGAAAGCAGAAAGGAGGGAGCAUCUGGUGCUGGGCAGCUCAUAUAAGUUACAGUUCCAGCUGCUGCUUUCAUUGCAGGACUUCACUGAGUUUUAAACAUUGCUUAUUCUAGUAUUGUUGCAGCAUUUAUAAAUAUUACAGUAAAUAGUUUUCCAUAUUUAGUAAAUAACAGAACUAUGUCUUUUAUGAAUCAAGGUGACAGAAUACUAAUGACAAGGAAUAGAAAUAGGCUGCUCCAAAAGUAAUGCCUCCUAUUUAUUUCCAGGGAAACUACAACCGGUAUGAAGAACACAGUAACACUAUUCAAUAGAGCAAAUUCUCAGCUACAAAACACUCUUUUUCAACAUAGUCACCACCACUAGAUAUGCUUUCCUUGCCAGCAAUGAACAAGAACUCAUAAAAAUCUGCACAGCAGAGGUGACCCAUUGUCACUGUUGCCACUGCUGAAAUGCACCACCCACUUCCUCACUGUUUGGUGAAUGUGAGCACAUUUGGUCUCCAUCAGUGUUCAGUAUGCAUCAACGAAUUUCAACAGGUGCACCUUUUUAUGUAUGGAGUGUGUGUUUCCCACACACUUCCAUGUCACAUGCCAUUUUGUCAAACUGACCCUCUGCUGCCACCUGUCGCACAGCAACAAAUAUAACCCAUCACGGGCGGGAAGGUUCAACCUCUACUGCAGCACCACCACCAUCUGCCAGUGAUGUCAUGGGCCAACAUAAUAAAAUGGGAGGCAUUACUUCUGGAGCAGCCCUUGUAGUAAGAUGUUGGUAGGUUUUUUGUUGUUGUUUUUAUUUUACUUUAAUGACAAAGAGAAUACCAAUCUACUUAUAUAGCUCAGUAAUGUAUACAACGGUUUACAUACUUGAACUUGAUAAAGACAUCCAUAGUCAUAUAAAUCUAAUUAGAGAGUAUUCACCCUCAUCCGUGAAAUGCUUUAUGAAUUAGGGAAAUGACUUUAAAGUUGCAAAUUAUUUAAAAGCUUCAGUAUCAUGACUUCUUUGUUUUGGAGAAAAUAAAACAAAGAGCAAACUGAAAAUAUUAAGAACUAAUGCCCUUCACUUUUCAAAAUAAAACCAUUUCAAUUAAAUUCUUGAGAUCUAAAAAGGUCAUCCACUUACACUUGCCAUCUUCUGUUUACAUUACACUUCAGGAAAUGGAAACAAAAUGUACACACUCCUUUUCCCAGUAACUUUAAAAUUAGGAAAUGAGUCCAGAAUCAAAACUUACUAUACUAAUUUCCAGGCUUCCCAAACGAAUUACAAAGAGUAAAUCCACAUGAAAUACAAGGCAUUCUUGAUUAAGACUGUUGGGCAGUCUGAUUCAAAAAUGAUUCUGCUUAGAGCAUAAUGGCUACCUCCCAUUUGUAAGAUGAACGUUUAAAAUACUGGAUCUGUUUAACUGUCAAAGCAUCCACUUUCAGCAACUGAAAUUUAAUCCAACAGACAAACAGGAUUUAUUCAAACUAUAAACAAAGGUUGCUUCUGCCUUACUAAAACUAUUUAUAGUAAGAAAACAGAAGCAAGCCAAAUGGAAAUGAGUCUGCAAAAACCCUGUAGAGCACGAUGCACCUGAAGACAAAACCUACCCUGAAGGAAAAAUGUGAGUUAAACGCCUGACACAUCACACUCUGAAGGUCAAUACCAAAGACUGCUAGGAAUGAACUCAUGGUGUGAACUAGGAGUACAAUGAAAACCCUCUUGUGCCUAUCUUCACACCGUUAUCUAUCUUCCACAAUAACUUAAGACUCGUAACCAGAAAUGAACUCUGUCAUGCAAGAAUUUUUGUUUUUUAAGGAGCAGGACUGCUCUAUGCUUUGAGGUAGUAGCAUAGUGCAGAAAACACCACUGAAGCUGAAGUACAAGAUUAGACUGAGAACAAAGUAUUAUAAGCAGGCUAGAGACAUAUUUAAAGAGAAAUGAAACCAGAGGUCUGAAAAAGCCUCCAAAUGGUAGUACAGGAACUAAAUAAUCCCUAAAUAGUUGUAAGGAAGAGUCAGAUCUGUACAUGAAAGAAAUUAUAUGAUAUCUUGGCUUUAAGAGCAAGAGAUUGAACUAGAUAGCCCAGAAGAAUCAGUCCUAUCUUCCUAUGAGUAUGCAAUUCUCCAUAGGUAUACUUAAAGGGAGAAAAAGUAGCAUUUUAAAAAUGUUACGAAAAGACACCAGAACUCUCAAAAGAUGAUCAAAGUAAAAUCUAAGAUCAUCAACUAGCACUUGUGAUUUCUUGGAAUUUUAAAAUAUUUUAUUUAAACAAGUUAGCUAAGUUUUUUACCAUGCAUUUUUUAUUCUAGUCUAGACAGCAUGGCAUCAUCCAUCAGCAUCUUAUUUCUUACAGCUCUGGAUGCUAUUCUUUUUCAACUCUUUCCUUCAAAAAGUGGAAUCCAUAGUGUGACUGCGUGUGUAUUUGUGCAUAAUCCAAUUGUCCCACUUAAUAUUUAAAAUUUCAUAAAAAUGGUAGCCAAUAAGAUCUCUCUAAGUACUUUUUUAUUUCAUUUAUUACAAAAAAAAAAACAAACUAAUCUCUUGCUGUUCUUCUAUGAUGGUACUUUAUUAUGAUUUCCUUUUUAUUUUUCCACAAUUUUUUUUUUCCAAGAGAAAAGUGAAACAUUUUACCACUGUUACCCUAACCAGACUCCCUUCUAAAUCAUUUCCAACUCUGAAUCUCAUCAGGACUUUCAGAUCAAGAACACAGUUUUGUGACCAACCUCAAUCAAUAUUAUGCUGCUCAUCCUCAUGUCCCCCAGUCCUUUGUCCUGAGGGAAUUGCACGUUGAUAUGAGCAGUUAGUCAGCUGGACUGAAGCGUUGACCUGGAUUCAUUUUUCAGAGUAUCAUUCAGGGGCGGAAAUGAAGAAUAUGCAAGACUCCCUUUCCAGCAGUAGCAAGAAUUCAGAUCAGGUGUUCAAGGCCAGUUUGGAUGGGGCCCUGGGCAGCCUGGUCUAGUAUUAGAUAUGGAGGUUGGUGGCCCUGCCUGCAGCAGGGCGGUUGGAGCUUGAUGAUCCCCGAGGUCCCUUCCAACUCAAGCCACUCUAUGAUUCUGAUUCUGUGAACUCAAGCUGAUCAUGAAAUUAUACUUCAAGUAAAGUGUACAGCCCCUUCUCACUAGACAGAAGCAAAAUCUGUAUGUGCUUGCAAAUCAGAAGUUGCUGUUUAGAUUUUGGCCUUGAAGAUCUAGCCUGAGCUUGUCUUUGAAAUACGCACAGGAAAGAUCUCAGAGGAGUGGAUGAUCCCCUAUUAUCCAUAUGGCAUUGCAAAUUUUACUUCCAGAAAGAAGAAAUUGCAAAAUCCUCCCCUUCCCAGGUUCUUCUACAUUGCCAGGCAGCGAGUCUCUGCCAACCCUUAUCCCCAGAAUGCUCAUGAAGGAGCUGAUCCCCACUAAAAAAAGGGUAAAAAGCCUGAAAACUAACCUGAUGGCUGAGAACACUCAAAUCCACACUUCUUCCCUAGUCUACACAUCACAACUACUCCUGAAAACUAACUACAAAAGGUCAUGGGACUGAGCCUGCUAGAAUUCAAGAAGCAUCUGCACAAUGCUCUCAGACAUACGGUCUGAUUUUUGAGUGGUCCUGUGUGGAGCCAGGAAUUGGACUUGAUGAUCCUUAAGGGUCCCUUCCAACUCAGGAUAUUCUACGCUUCUACGAUAGAUUCUCCUGUUUCCUCACAUUUUGCUUUUAUUGCUGCUUAAAAUUUUACAUAGGUAGUACAAAACCCAAUGGGGUUUGCAGUGAUGACUAAUUAGUUGAUGUCUGUAACAUCUGAGAUCUGGGAAGUAUUACGUAUGAAGUAUUCAUCUCCUUUUAGAUUUCACAAAGUAUUUUUUUUACCAGGUGAAAACACAAAUAAAGAAAAAAAAAUCUUGCAUAUAGGUGGACAUUGGGAAGCCUACAGCUAAAGCUCUAAAUGUGCAGUCAUGUACAGGUAAUACUCUUAGAAUGUUCUUAUAACUAACAUGUUCUUUAUUUAGACUGGAUUUUUGGACAGUAUGUUCAAUUUAUUUCAUACUGCCACAUUAACUGAACAGUGAGACACUGCUGAAAUUCAGUAAUAUUGCCAAGGAAUGUUAGCCUGUGCAGGGUUCUUGGAACAGGUGCAUCUCAUACAAGAAAAGCUUCUCUGAGGUAAUAAUAAUGGCGACACUUCACACUUUCCAUGGUGUCACUGUUCUGUGAGCCUGUUUCCAGAGUCUCUCACUUAUGGAAGCACUGAAACUGAGGAACUGUUUCAUAUGACCGGGAACCGCUGCAUUCAGCCUUAACUAUACUAAUCCAUUUUACAUCCAUCCUUCUUACACCCAUCCAUUUUACAUAAUCCAUCUAUACAGAGUGGCAGUUAAGGAGAGGUUUGUUGAGGCUACAACAAGAGCUCCCAAACCAUAGACCAUACUUUGGCAAUGGUUAAGCUAAAGAUGAGCUCUAAUUUUGAAUUUCCAGAUUUUUUCUAGAGUAAAUCUACUCCUCCAUUCAUUAUUUAAGCUAAGAUGUAUAAACCUUUUCAAAAGUUACACAAAUAAUACAGGACACACCUGUCCACUGAUAUUAUAACAGGAGCAGGGACCAUACACAUUCCUGUCUAAAUACAAGUAUUACGGUUGUAAAGUUCUCCCUUAUUGCUCUUGUGAAGACAGUCUCUACUAGGUUAGAUGCAUUUCAUUAGGAUCAUGCAUUGUCACAGUGCAGUUGAGAUUCUGUCAUAUAUAAGAACAGCCCUUAAUGUCAAGGAAGUUUAGAAAUACUCUAUGGCCAUGUGCUGAUUUCUCUCAAAGAAAGACAGAUUUUUUUUUUGUUUCUUUUCCUCAGAGGUUUUCUGAGCCCACCUCAGGGCCCUAUUUAUUUCCCAGCUGAUGCUCCCUGCCAUUCAACAUAUUGACAUGAAGUAUUGGUGUAUCUCCAUCUGGAUUACUGAAGCAGCCAUCACGAUCUAAAGGUGCUGCCCCAAACUUGUAUGAAUGGCUUAUAGACAUGAUCUACACUGAACUUACACAGAUGAAAAGAUGGCAAUCGUAGGACAGAUAAGGGAACCGAACUGUAAUGGCUAUUUUAUUCUACUGGAUUUCAAUCCAACUGCUUUAAUUUGCUCAAAAUGUUUGUACUUUCACUGCAGAUCAAAAAAAGAGAUCCCUAUGGGAGCUCCAGAUGAGUCAUUAUAAAAGACACUGUUGUAUGCAAAGUGCUAGUAAGUUUUAAAAAGGCCUUGUCUCUAUAUAUGUCAUUUAUACUAAUCAAAGCAUGCUAACAACCAGUCAUUAAGGGGAUUGAGUUCUCAUCAUACCUCAGCGGCCUACUCUAAAACUUCAUUACGAAACGGAACUUGUUUUUUAAAAGCACACAGAAAAGACGGUUUAAAAUUAAUAAUAGCAAACCUUUCUAGCAACUAUUUUUAAGCAGACUAAGGGAUGGAUGUUAAUCAAAUGAGGUGUAGUCAAGAGACAAACACCCUCCCCCAAAGCAAGAAAAAAGUAAGAAUUUUAUCUUUCAUUUACAGAAGAUAAACUUUUUUUCUACCUUACAGUCUAUAAACUUCUCACAGUAUUUAAAUAAAUUGGCCACAUAGAUGAGAAAGUCACAGAUGUUGCAAGGUAAACAGAUUAAACGCUUGGAUUCAUGAAUCCUAUGAGAGGCACUGUUCAUCAGUGGAAAUCAAGAUUGCGUUAUGUAUUUUGGCCUAUAAACAAAGUUUACAUUUUGUUACUGGUCCCACUGCAGUGUUGAGACAGCCACUCCAGUUGUCAACAUAGACAUAUCCCAACAUACAGCUGGGAUAGCCACAAUGGUGGUCCCUUUGGAGAAACUGAUCAUAUCCUACCUCAUCCAGGAAAUCAUUGGGCUGCCACAAAGAGGUCAACACUGGUCAUGGGGACUCGCUAACACAGUGUCAUUUUGAAAGGAUCAUUCCCUUUGGAUUACGCUUAAAAAUGUGGUUCCUGCCAUUAAGUAUGAAAUUUCAUAGUCAUGUCAAAUUUUUUGCUGUCCUUCAUCUGGUUGGGGCUGAGCAAAUGGGAGGAGCUGUUAUAUUCUGUUAUUCGCAAAGGGAAACAGUAUUAUUAUUUUCUGCCCUCCUGAAAACACUUUCUUCACAGAAAGCAAGUAAGGUACAACAGUGAUAUACAAAUACAUGGAAAACUGGUGUAAAUUAAAACUACAAAGAUGAAACGUUGUCUCUGGAGCCAUGUCUCCACAAUUACUUUCCAGUGACCUCCUGCAAAUAGUUGUCAUCAGAGAACCAGAGAGCUGCACUAGCUCUACUACACUGUAAUUAAACCUUCCAUAUCUACUGUAGUACAGAGGAAAAAACAAGCAGAUCACGGAAUGCAAACUGAGACAGGAGUUUCACUGCUGCUAAGGAUGAGGAAGCCACUUGCUCCUUAGCCCUGGAGGAUACAGCUAUUCCAGAACCAGGGUUAAACUCUCUGGUUUCUCUAAGAGCCAGCUUCUUCCCCUCCCUGCCAUGCACCGGUGCUUGUCAUCACUGACACUCAUCCACAUCCACCAAAGCUGGGAACAAAGCUGAAGGUAGCGCUGAUCCGCACUUGAUGCUUCAGUUACGCACAGCUCCCAAGAGUACAAUACUAAUUUUCUUCCAUGUGCAAGCAAGUGCAGCACAAAAAUAUAUAUACAUAUGUAUUAGUUUAUUAUGAAAACUGUAUUUCCAGCAGACAAAAUGCAAAUAAAAAAUCAGGUUUGCAUAAAGUAACCUCAUUCGUUUAAACGUCUUAAAAUUACAAAUACUCAGUUUGAAACACAUACAUAGUACCAUUUAAGUGAAGAUGGUGGCACUUACAGAGAAAAAUAGAAUACUUUGCUUUGAGAUGGAAAAUGCUACUGCUUUUCAACAUAUACUGUGAUUGUAGCCUCCACGGUCAUAGAUAAGUCUACAGCGUCCCGCCUUAAAGUCCUAAACAAUACUGUGGUGGUUUUCAUAUCUGUGGUAUAAAAUAAAGAAAAUGCAACAUAGUAAUAGUUUCCUCAAUAAGCAUUUCUGAAUGUAAUGGCAACUUGGUCCUGCAAUGAAUUGCUACUGAAACUAAGAGGUAGUUGUGAGUUAGGACAGGACCAAACACACUUUUCAGUUGUGGAAGUCCCGCAUCCAUGUGAUGGAAACUUCUUGACCAAGCAUUUUAGGAUGACACUGCAGAAUAAUAAAGUGUGAUAACAGAAGGAAAUAGUUGGCUAACAAAUCAGUAGAGACAAGCACCACGUUAUUUUAUAACAAUAAACUACACAAAGUCAGAGUGACUUCUGAACUCUCUUCCCAUUACUUUGUUUAUAGCAGUUCACACUUUUAUAGGGCAUGUUUCAAGAGCAAGAAAAGCUUCAGAGGUGAAUCCAAGGCUUUAUCCAAGGCUUGAAACAUAAAUUAAAGGCAAGUUUCAUCACAGGUCAUACACGAUACAAAAAUCUGAGUGUUGGUGUGCUGCCAUUCACAUCAAUGGGAACAGCCACCAGAUCAAACUCCAUGUUAACCUUGCUUUAGAAAUUGUGUCCAGCUGAAAGCCCUUUUGUAUUUCAGUUGUUAUGAUAAAGGAACACAUUACCCAGUCUUUUUUUUUUUUUUUCCCCAAGAAAUAUUCCAUGCAUUUGUUUUCCUUAUCCAAUGUCAGCAGUUAAUCAACACUACAUAAGGAAGUUAGUGUGAAGCCAAUGCUGAUUUGCUACCAACAGCUAACUAGUACCAAGAGAACUCCCCUAAAAACCCCAUGAUGAAAACAAUGCAAAAGUUUUCUAUCUACCAACACAUUUUAGUGUCAAAAAUAAUGCAUUUUCCUAAACAAAUACUAAUUGCACCCAAUGCAAAACCUAAAUAAAACGACACAUUACAGAUCUGUUGGCAAUUGUAUCCUUCAGAAAUAUCCUAAAUCCUGCUGUACUGAGGUAAAAAAUCCUGACAACUGCUGUCUUCACGUAACUGCUGGUAACUUCAGCAGGAGUUUUGAGUAUCUCACCCUCCUCUGGAUUAAACAAACAGGCGUGACUGUCGUCAGCAGAACGUGAGGUCUCCUCUGCCACAUGUGAUUUUGACAGCAAACUCUAUCAAAUAAUAAAAAUCACAUCACAAUGCUUACCAAGACAAUGUUUAGCCAGUAGCUGGGAUUCAGCAGACCGGCGGCUGGCAAACCAAUGUGCAUCACCCUUAUUUAUGUAUAUAAGGAGCUGCUGCACCGGGCUGUUUUCUCCUCUUUCCCUACGCAAAGCACAUCAGGUGUUCCUUCCCUCACUGCUACCCAGCACUCACAAUGGCACAACUCACUGGGAGCACGCUUCCUGCUCCCGCAACACCAGUCAGUCCCAGCAGAAAGAAAAUCCCAAGGCAAAUUAGUGUAAAUUAUUUUAAUGUUGGCUAACAAGAAGGAGAAAUGGGGAGUCUUGAGAGCGUAAGACCCAUCCUGUGACUGCUCGUUUUUGUUGAACAUCAUCUAUGCAGUGUGUGGAAAGUGACGGUACUGGGAUUGCAUUAACUAGACAGAGAACAGAGCUGCUCCUGUAUCCAGACAGUUAACAGCAACCUUUUUAUUUCAUUUGUCAACUUUCAGAUGCAAAAGUGAUCCAACCUGUUAGAAAACUAGGUACACAAGGUGCUCUUUCAUGCAGUUUGGAUCCAGUAGAUCUCCUAACACACCCAAGUUUCACAGUCAGACGUGUCAUCUUUUUGAGCUCUGAGGGUUUGGAAAUGUGCACCACUGUGCAGCCCGUUUGCCUUCCAAGUUCAUUACCAAAAUCACUCGCUUGUUGUGAAACAAGCAACAGAGAUAGGAAAAAUCCCUGAAAAAGAGCUAGGAGGCUGUUAUUUUGCUUUAUAUCAAGUGACACUUUGCAAAUGGCACCCUGCAAGUUACGCCUCAACUCAUCGUAAAAAUGCAACUAAAAUCUAUAUCAUCCCACUUCAUGCGCAUAGGUAAAACAUGGAGUUGAAAGCACACUAAAAGAGUGGGGAAAAAAAAUCCAUGAAACAAAUAAGUUACUUGAUUGCCUCUGAAUAAUAGAUUGCUCCCUAGCAGAUUCCAACAGACGGGUUUACUGCAGGAACACAUUUCUGUUGUCAAUGGGAACAGUUAGCUGAGCAGCCGAGGAAGGGAAAACAGCCUGAAACAACUUUGGGGUUGGAAAGUAAACCUGGCUGCAGAGGUGCUGCUGACUGGCCACAGCCACAACGCUUCGCCUCUCCUUCUUUAACAAUUAUAAUAAGUGACGGCAAGUGAUGAUCUCUUUGCUCUGAUCACAACGCUCCUUUCCCCUGGAAUAGCACCGAGGCUGCCGGAGGACCGGGAACACUCCCAGCUCCCUCAGCCCCGGAGUUCCCUCUCCAGGCGCUGCCCUGCUGAGGAGGAAGCACUGGGAGCCAGCGCUUCGCGGGUGCUCUAAGGAUCCACAGGGAGAUGUCCUGGAGCACGAGGCACUGAACUCUGCCGGGAGCUCUGUGCUUUCUGCAUCCCUGCCCAAUUCCUCUACACAGCUUCUGCCGUGCCGCCCGCUCUGUGUACAGUGGGGAAGCUUCAUCCCUCCCCAUCCCAGAAACACAAAAUAACAGAGGCACUUCACACACAGGCGCGCACUCAGGCACACGUGCACGCUCACACUCUCCCCCCGACAUCACAUGCAAUUCUUUGCAAGUCCCCUGCAAAUUGCUUAAAGACGGAAAUCAAGCUCACACACACACACCAAAUAAAAAAAGAAAGAAAGAAAGAAAGAAAACCAAACGCAGAAAGGAGGAGGGAAUGGGGGGAGGGCAGGAGGGGGCAAAGGAGAAAAAGAGCAGUUUUUCUGGGUUUGUUUGUUUUUGCCUUUUUUUUUUUUUUUUGCCUUUUUUUUUUUUUUUCCUCCCCUGGUGUUGCUGUGGCUUCCAAGCAUGCAGUGCUAAAGAAGAGUGGUCCCCCACUUCCAUCAGCUAGCUACAUCCUCGGGAUAAAGGGAGCAGUCCGGGAGGAUGCUGAGGCUGCAGAAGGGAAAUAAGGCUCAGCCAGCACGCCUGGCUCCCCGUGAAAUCCUCUCCUCCUCAUCCCCUCCUCCCUGAAACCUGCCUUGAAGGGAGAAAAGAAAGAAAGAAAGAAAGAAAGAAAAACAACAACAACAACAAAAAAAGGCGAAGACCAAAAACAAAAAUUAAAAAAAAAAAACAACACACAAGGAAAAAGUGAUGAAAAGACACAACUCACCUUAACAAGGGGUGUUGGAUGGGGUCAGAGAGGAGGAAGGGUAUAUAAAAAGAUCUAUUUUUAGCAGAGGUUGUGAUAGUACUGAAACACACAGACACAGGGUUUGGAAGCAGGGAGAAGAGUAUAAAAAACGAGGGGAAGAGAAAUUAUCGAGAAGGUGCAAGUCAGUCUGGCAGGAGAAACGAGAAUCCCCAAGGAAAAAAAAAAAGAAGAAGAAGAAGAAAAAGAAAAAAAAAAAGAAAAAAAGAAAAACCACGAAAAGGGCGGUGAGGCACUGGCACAGGCUGCCCAGAGGAGCUGUGGAUGCCCCAUCCCUGGAGACAUUCUGGGCCAGGAUGGAUGGGACCCUGAGCCUUCUGAUCUGCUGAGUGGCAGCCCUGCCCAUGGCGAGGGGUUGGAAAUGAAUGAUCUUAGAGAUUCCUUCCAAUCCAAACCUUUCUAUGCUUCUGUGGUCUCGGAGGAUCACACCUGCCUGAAACAGCUGGCCAAAUCCAGCCAACACUGAGAUGCUACAGAAGCAGGCUUUUACCAAUCUAAUCAUCUCCAGAAAUACAUCUGUAACUAAAAAGGCAUCCAGCAAAAGUUGCUUUUGAGCAUGUAAAUACAACACCUUUAGAAACCUUCCUACAGUUUUUUUGGGUUUUUUUUGGUCUAAACUGAGAGCGAUGGGAAAAGCACAUGGAGAAUCUAAAGGCAGGGAAACAAGCAGGCUCUUAAAGAGUGUUUUAUUUCUAUCCACAGAGCUAUUAACAAUGGUAUGCAAACACGUCUGUUUGUGACUUGUGGUUUUGAAUUGGCGCUGUCCCAUAAGCGGUGAGAGCAAACGCGGGCCAAGCUGUUGGAUCCACAACGUGCAACUGGUACACAAGCUGUGCUUCGGCAGCACUGUUACGUUGAGAUAAGCAGGAGCAUGUGUAGUAAAUAGCAGAAGGAUCUGCUCCAGGAUGCACACUGAUGCUGAGGAAGGGAAUCACCAAAAUGAGCAGCGUUUGGUGGCACCUGGCAGCCAACAAAGCCUUCCCGAGGAAGAGCAGUGAGUGCAGGGGUACCUAAUGGCUGGACAUAAGUACCACUUAAAUCCCUGGCACCAGCAGGGAGGAGUGCAGGAGGGUGGGAGCCUCACGGGCAGGCUGCAGGCGGCCCAGUGGAGCAUGCCCCGAUGGCCCUACGCUGCCUGCUGCCUAGCAGGGCCAGGAGCGCCCAGCUCACUGCUGGCUGAGGCGUGGGAACAGGCCGAGUGCCUGGAACCCAACUGCUGGCUGGGGCUGGAGCCUCCUCGUUAAAUGAAUCAUUCAUUAGGCAGAAAAGGGCAUACUGAGGACCAAACAACAACUUCAUUAUUCUGUAUUUCGACCCUUUUUCCUCCUCCGAAGAAAGAAUUACUUCCCACACGGCUGCAGCAGAGAAUCUGAAGGAAUAAUGAGCUUUCCGAAUCGCUCAUGUGAAGCAGAAAUAAAACAAGAGGAAGGAGCUCCCCGUGUGUCUCUCUGUUCUCCUCACAGAACUCAGAGGAAGAGCCCUUCUGUUUCAGUGCGGGCUUGGCCAGCUGCUUCCUUCUCCAGUUCUUUAUCCCCUUUCCUCUGAACCAAAUUGUUCAGCAGUCUUGUGACUAAACCCAGGAGUUCACAGAUUUGGAUCUUGUCUCUUUAUUUAAAUCAAAUGUGUACAAAAUGAUGCACGGCCACACAAAGGGGAGCAAGGAUUGGAAAUAAACUCUGUGCUGCUGGGAGCCUUGAUUUCUGCAAUAAAUAAGUCGAGGAGAUGUUUUAUACAUUAAAGUGGGGGUAAUGUUUUAUACAUUAUGUUAUUACAUAUUUUCUUUAAUUUAAGUUCAAUUUCAAAAAAAAUGGAUCUCACUUAACGUGUAUUUACAUGAGCUCUCACUGACUUCCAAUAUUUAUGAAAGCUUCCUUGAUCGUUUUGCACUGCUGCAGGAACACUAAUUUACUGUACAAAAGAAGAAUCUCCAAUAUACAGUGCAAAGCUCUGACCACUGGCAGUUCCCUGAGACACUCUGUGCCCAGCAAUAUCAGGAUGGCUUCUACUGUUGAUUAUAGGGCUACAAAGACAGUGAAGGGUCUAGAGGGGAAGGCAUGUGAGGGGCGCCUGAAAUCCCUUGGUUUACUCAGCCCAGAGCAAAGGAGGUUGAAGGGAGACCUCAUGGCAGCCUACAGUUCUUCAUGAGGGGAGCGGAGGGGCAGCACUGAGCUCUCCUCUCUGGUGACAGAGACAGGACCCAAGGGAUGGCAUGGAGCUAUGACAGGGGAGGGUCAGGGGGGGUGCUGGGAAAACAUAACGUAACCACCAGAGGGUGGUGGGCAUGGAAUGGGCUGUCCAGGGCAGUGGGCACAGCCCCAUGCUGCUGGAGUUCAGAAAGCAAUUGGACAACACACUCAGCCAUAUGGUCUGAUUUUUGGGUGGUCCUGUGUGGAGCCAGGAAUCGAUGAGCCUUCUCUGCAGAGAAGGACUUGGGUGUUCUGGUGGACGACAUUUUGGCGAUGAGCCAGCAGUGUGCCCUUGUGGCCAAGAAGGCCAAUGGGAUCCUGGGGUGCGUUGCUGGCAGGUUGAGGGAGGUGAUUCUCCUGCUCCACACUGCCCUGGUGAGGUCACAUUUAGACUACUGCAUUCAGUUCAGGGCUCCCCAGUUCAAAAAAGAUGGAGAUCUUCUAGGAGUCCAGCAGAGGGCCACAAACAUUACAAAGGGCCUGGAGCAUCUCUCCAUAUGAGGAAAGACUGAGUAACCUGGGUCUGUUCAGCCUGGGGAAAACAAGACUGAGGGGCAGUGUCUGAUAAACAUUUAUAAAUAUCUAAAGGGCAGGUGGAAGAAAAUGGAUGAGUCCAGGCUCUUCUUGGUGGUACGUAGUGAUAAGACAAGCAGAAAUAGCCUAAAACUUGAAUAUAGGAAGUUCCAUACUAACGUGUGGAAGAACUUUUUUAUGGUAAACUUUUUUAUGGUGACAGAGCACUGGAACAGGUUGCCCAGAGAGGUUGUGAAGUUUCCUUCUACGGAGAUAUUCAAGACCCGUCUGAAUGCAUACCUGUGCUAUCUAUUGUAGGGCACCUGCUUUAGCAGGGGGGAUCGAACUCAAUGAUCUCUUGAGGUCUCUUCCAACCCCUGCAGUUCUGUGAUUCUGUGAUCUUCAUAGAUCUCUUCUGUGAUUCUGUGAUUAUGCUGUGGCCCCUUUGGCUUUGCCGAAGUUGUACAGACUAUGAUUUUCAGUUUCACUUCUCUAGGACAAAAAACAAAAACAAAAACAAACAAACAAAAAACCAAAACACCACCUUUGAUGAAUAGUUUUGAUGAAUGGCUUGGAUUCUGAAAAGCACUGACAUCAGUGGUAUUCAGAAACAUCCGAACACAAAACGCUUCUAUGUGAGCGUAUCUUUUUUAAACAUACAUUUCAGUUGCCAUGUCAUAGGAUAUUCAUAUUUGACAUCUGAUUUACAAGCAUAACUUGACACUCAAGUCAUCUGCAUGCUGAGGAGCAGUCAAUUUUGCAGCCUGAACAUAACAUUUAAAUGGGUGGAAAUCAUGACAAGAGUUAAAACAGAAGUUUUUUCUUAUAUAAAAAACACUCGUAUAAAUCCUCUUUCCUGAAGCUAGUUUACAUGCAUUGUCAGUAAUUGACUAAAUUGCUCAAAAACCAAAGUCGGAAAGGUUACUGUGUGAACCAUACAAAGCAUCUAAACUGACAUAAAUAAAAUCAUCCUCACACACUGUUACAUUGCUUCAGCUUGCUUCUGCUGCUGCAGGCAGCUAACACUGGGAAGCUUUCCUCUAUCUUUCACUCAAGCCAUCCAGAGAAAGACAAACUUUGUGUUUGGCUCAUUACAAAGCACACAGAUCACAUAUGCUGGCAGUGCAGCAGAGUAAUCUUGGAGGCAGACAUAAAAACUUUGGUUUGGGUAAGCCAUUGAAUGUCCUCAGACUGCCGAGAGGUAUGAACCAGGUCACCUGGAGUCACCUGGAGCUUGUCAGCCAGUUGUAUGUCUAACAGUGCUGCCACGGACGUAGGGCAGACCCAGCCAAAGAAUGAUCUGCUUCCCUCCCAGCUGCUGGGGGUGGUAGCAGACCUCCACCUGUGCUUGGUACAUUCCCUAGAUUCUGCUGGAGCCAGCAGGACAUGCACCUCUGUGUUCCCCUGGGUAGGGGUGCAAUGAAGAAAUUCUCUGCAUAUCACCAAGUGUUGAUUGAAUGGUGUGUUACUGGCCUCUAUGAAGGAGGCGUUACUUGCCUUUCUGUCUCACUAGCAAUGCAUGCAGAUACUGUUUUUAGUAAUAAAAGCUAGAAAGUUGAUUUCAGGCCAAUAAGGAGAUGUUUAUAAUAGUACAACCCUAUAUGAAUUGGAAUAUAAAUGUAUUUAUUGUUUCAAUAUGUAUGAGAUGCUUUGACAUUUAAUAAGACUUUUUUUUCUGUUUCAUCUGGAAAUUGUGAAGUCCACGAGUCAUGCCCAAGCUGUUGGGAGUCCACUGACAACUUCACAGAUGGUGGACAUUUUGGACAGUUUUCACAGAACCUGUCCAUAUUAUCAAUUGAUAAUAUAUAUCAUAUACAUCCAUUUUAUAUUGACUCUGAAAUUUAGUAUGAUGUCCACGCAAUAAGUAACACUUUGAGAUGUUUGGGAAAUCUUCAGAGAUGACAGACGUGCUUAUUGAUUUACACUGUGCCUUUUAAGAAAUGGUUAUUUAUUGCUAGGUGAGGAGUGUAGCCAUAUUGCUGUAUUUUCUAUUGUACAAAUGUGAUGCAAACAUGGGUUCCGAGGGUUUUAAUAGUACAGUUUACUGCAUUUGUGAAAGGAGAUGUUUCACAAAUAAAUAAUGUUACAAUUCCAAAACUGUGACUGGAAAAAAAAAAGUUAGAACUGCCUUUUGGAUUGAAAGAAUGUCAACACUAAAACAAAAUAUUUUGGACUAGUUGACCAACAUGAACUGUUUUGGUCCUAUAUCUAUAUGUAUAUAGGUAGAUUUGCUAAUAUUCUUGUAUUUUUUGCCAGUUAUUAUCAAGGGCUUCUUUUAAUGUAUUUUAUUAUAGUAGCUGUUAUGUCUUUAACAUGCUAUACAUUCUUGAUACUGCAUGAUGCUGAGUGAGUUGUGUUUGCCCUUUGAUUGCAAUUUGAUACAAUUGACAGGAAUUUUA
ensembl:lncRNA